GAUGAUUAAACAAAAUACCUCAAACUAAUAUUUUGCACGGUGUACUUUGACAGAAUAAAUGAGAAAUGUCUGACCAACUUUUAUAUUAAAAAUGGAAAAAGGCAGUUGAUGUAGCUACAAACAAACAAAUAGUGAUGCAAACAAAAUAGGAGGACAGAAAGAUGAUGACCGCAGAUGAGAUAAAAUCACAAACGACUCCGAACAAACAAGAGGAAAAAUUGACGGCCAUGGAAUAGAUGACUCACGAUCCGCACAUCGGUGUCGUCGAGCAAACGGCCGGGAUGGAGGAGCCCAUGGCGAGGAUGAGCUCGAUCCGCAGGUGGGAGGUGGAAGAAGAGGAGCCGGGGAGAGCCACCUCGAUCGUCGACAGGAGCUCGUAAGGCGAGACCAUAGCUUCCUUCUUCUGGGGUUCCGUCGUCGAAAACCCUCACAAGAAAGAGGGGCAGGAAGAGGAGUAGGAGGAAACACUUCUUGGGAGCGGGGCGGUCGAAGGGGGCGAUUUGAAACCCAUGGACUCGACACGCAUGGCGUGCAUGCGCUCGAUCCGCUGGGUCGAGGUGGAAGAAGAGGGAGCGGGGUGAGCCGCCUCGAUCAGCGAUGCGAGCUCGUGCGGAGACACCACCUAUUCCUUCUUCUCGGGUUCCUUCGGAAACCCUCACAAGUAAGAGGAGCAGGAGGAGGAACAGGAGGAAACUCUUCUUUGAUUCUUGAAGGGCGAGGCGGUCGAAGGGAGCGAUUCGAAACUCAGGGACCCGACGGCCGGGAUGGAUGAGCCCAUGGAGUGCAUGACCUGUAACAAGAAAAAGGGGCCGGGGAGAGCCGCCUCGAUGGUCGACGGGAUCUCGUGCGGAGAGACCACCGCUUCCUUCCUUCUAGCAACGAGAAAAGAGGGGGAGCAGGAGGCAGAGGAAACCGCUAUUGGCUUCUCCUGAUUUGAACCGGGCCGUGGUAUUGGGCGACCGCCUUUAAAAGGCUGGCCGAGUUGUGUUUCAAGAAACAGUUUUAUGUUUUAAAAAAAAACUGUUUCUUGAAACAGAACUCGGCCAGCUUUUUCCAAGAGUCCACAAAAAAUGAUUUCCCAAAAGCAAUAGCGUUUUCUUCCCUGUUUCCCAAAAUGAUUUCCGCGGUGGCGCCGACGAGAGUUGUCGAAUACAUAAUUUAGUAUAUUGGAAAUCUGAGGGAGAAGUAAAUAUCUGAUAACAUUUGGAAGAAAUAUUAUUAGAUUAACAGCUAAUUAAGUUCCUCUCUACCAUCCAUUGUGGGAGCUUAGCUUGCGUGUGUGCCACAAGCAAGGCAAUAAGAAAAGUUCUUCCUCGGAGAAGACCAUCCGUCACUUGCCCAUCACCCAGAUAGAUGCCUUAUUCCUGUCAGUCUCGUUAUGGUUCGUGGAUGUGAGCCACACAAACUGUUGUUCCCCAUCACCCAUGGCCUCGUUGAGCAUCCUUGCCUGUCUCCUCUGCUGGCUCUUUGCCUCCUCAGUUCUGCUGGUUAUAUAAGGUCAGCCUCUCUUCGGGGGUGGAGGAGGCGACGGAGAAGGUACGGGACGAGGGCGCAGGAAUAAGCAGCGUUUCCAUGGCCGGCAAUGGCGCCUUCCACGCUGCAGUCUGUAACGCGCCGGCCAACGAUAACCUGUUCUCCGAUGGCGGUGUCUUCUACGGUGAUGACCCCUUCGGACACGUCAUGCCCCUCUUCAUGUUGCACAUCGUCGUCAUCGUCUUCACCUCUCGUGCCGUCUACUUCCUUCUCCGCCCUCUCAAGCAGCCUCGUCUCGUCUGCGACAUCAUCGUAAUGCUUUUCUCUAAUUCUUUUCUGUCUGCUUGUUCGUGCGUGUUUGACUUAUGUCGUUGUUACGUAGGGCGGCGUCCUUUUGGGACCGACCCUGCCGAGCCUCCUUUCUCGGCUUCUUAGCUUCUUCCACCAUGUGUUCGACGUGGAAGGGGCGCCGGAUUACAGCCACAUAAAACAGCGGUACAUGGACGCUAUGUUUCGGGCGGACAAUGUAUCCUUGAUGCGUUCUGUGGCCUCCUACGGAUUCAUGCUUCAGCUCUUCUUGAUCUCCGUCAAGACAGACCCCAGCAACAUUUGGCGGUGCGGGAAGAAGGCCUUCGCCAUCGGCGUCUCGUGCAUGGUCAUGCCCUUCGCCGUCCUCAACUUGCUUUCCUGGUUCUUCGAGGUCCGAUACGUUCCUGACGACGGCGGCCGAACCGUCGCCGCUGUGGCAGGCGUCGGGGACCCGAACGCCCUCGUCACCAUCGCUUCGUUGGUGAGCGACACCAUGUUCCCCGUGGUCGCGGAGAUCCUCGCGGAGCUCCGGCUGCUCAACACCGAACUCGGCCGCCUCGCUUUGUCGGUGUCCAUGAUCAUCGAUUACGGGUGGUCUUUGACCAUCACGAUCGCCAACGUGGUGAUGCGAACCAUGUACGACCAGGCGCCGCCAUUGGUGUACUCGGCGCUGGGCAUCGUCGCCAUGAUCGUCUUCCUCCUGUUUGUGUUCCGGCCGUGGGUGCGAUGGAUCGUGCGGCGGACCCCGAAGGACGGCCGCAUCGCGGAGGGGCAAGUCCUGAUGGUCCUGCUGGUUGUAAUGGCCAUGGGUGCCGUCAGUGAGACCUUCGGAGCGAGGGUCACGGACGGGCCGAUCAUCAUGGGGCUCCUCGUGCCCACUGCGUCCCCGCUCGCGGUGGCCAUCGCCGAGAAGGUGGAAGUGAUCGCCACGGGGCUGAUGCUGCCGCUGGCGUUCUUGAAUGCAGGGAUGCUGACAGACUUCUCCACGGUCGAACACCCCAAGGUGUUCCUGGGCCUACAGCUGUUCAUGUUGGCCGGGUACGUGAUCAAGUUCUUCGCGGCCAUGGCGCCCGCCGUCUACUACAACAUGCCAGUUAGGAAGGCUGCUCUGUUGGGGCUGAUGCUGAACUUUACCGGCCUAAUGCAACUUCUAAUCUACGUCGAGUCCUUGUAUUCACAGGUACCAAACACUUGCCAAUCAAAAUUAGCAGAUAAGGUGAGACAUUGAGCUAAUCUUAGUCUCCUCCAAAUCCUACAGAUGAUUCAGCCAGAGGCAUACGCGGCUAUCAUCGUCAUCAUAGUUGCUGUCACGGCCGUAUGUUCAUACCUGGUGGCCAAACUCUACGAUCCCCUGAAAUCGAACAAAAAGGUGGCAUAUCGGAAAUUGAAGCAUCUCGACUAGGCCGCCGAUUCCCUCCUCGCUGUUACAAUGAGAUUCUAAAUGAUUCCUGAUAUUGUAUCUGCAGAUUCAUAGAGUAGCUAUAUACUUACGCGUGUUAAGACUGGGAAAUAUAUUGUACGAUUUUUUGAUAAUAGAUUUGAAUUAUUCACUCCAAUGUCAUGCGUGCAAGUAUAUAUAUAUAUAACACGUCACACCCCGAAACAAUCUCGGGUGGGGCCCCGUCUCUGAUCGCGUGCACGUGAUUGGAUGCGGAUAAAACAUGGGCCCCACAUAACUGGUUAUGUUGGGUUCCGUCGUUUUCUUUAAUGACAAGGAGGGUAUGAUAUCGUGUAGCGGUCGAUGGGUGGAAAAGUGACGGUGAUCUUUAUGGCCGCCUCCGGUAUUUUCUCUCACUUUCUUGUUGUGGACACCUCCCAAUUCCUGAACGACCGCUGGGACGGUAAGCGCACCUUCCCGUCGUGCCUUGAUUACUCGUGACUUAACUCACGAGAGAAUGAGCUGGCGCAUGUCGGUAGCCGUACCACCCGGUCCUGCUUGACAUCGGUCACAUCCAUGGCUCGCGUCCCACGCCGUCUGUCACGUCGCCACAUACGACCAGUUCUCGUGUCACCAACCCCAAAGUCAAGUGACAUCUAUUAGUCGAAUCACCCCCGCUCGCCCAACUCCACACGUAAUCCCAACACCGUUGCCGGCUCCUCCGCCCUCUCCUUCUCGCCAAUGUAACGGAUUCGGGUCUCCGUUCAGCGGUGAGGAAGGAGGCAGUGGAGGACCGAGGGACCACUUCGGCUCCGAUCCAACCCCCUCGCCACCCUCCCCCUGUCACCGGGCCAUGGAGACGAAGCCGCCACCUCCUCCGCUUCCACCACCGCAGCUACAGCGACGGGGAAAGUGGGUGGUGCCCCUGCUCGCAUCUUUCUUUCUCUCGUCCCUCUUCAUCUCCGCCUCCAUCUUCUCCUCGUCCUCGUCCUUCUCCUCCUCCGCUGCCGCCUCCUUGUCCCGCCAGGCCCUCCUCCUCCUCUCGUUCUCCCAGAUCCCGACCCCUAUCGGCGACGAUCCCCUUUUCGUGGAGUCGAAGCUCCGCAGCCGGCCGCUGUCCGCCGCUGCCCCUGCUCGGCCGGUCCCCCGUCUCGCUUACCUAAUCUCCGGCUCGGCCGGUGACGGCGCCAGCCUCCGGCGGACCCUUCGGGCGCUCUACCACCCGGCCAACCAGUACGUGCUCCACCUCGAUCUCGAGGCCUCCGCGGCGGAGCGCCUCGAGCUAACCGCCAUCGUCCGGGAAGACCCGGUCUAUACCCGCUUUCGCAACGUUAGGGUCGUCUCCCGCGCCAACCUGGUCACCUACCGUGGUCCGACCAUGGUCUCCAACACUCUCCACGCCGCCGCCAUCCUCCUCAAAGAGGCCGGCGACUGGGACUGGUUUAUCAACCUCAGCGCCUCCGAUUACCCUCUCGUCACCCAAGACGGUAUGAUUCGUUGCCCAAUUAUUUGGUGUGGGCAUUAGCGAUAGGUGUCUCCUAAUUUGGCGCUACACAUUUGUUCCUGAAAUUUGAUCUUGUUCUGCUUGCUUUCCGGGCUUUAAUUGGAAUUCUUAAUGGGCAUUUUCUCCAAAUUCGUUCAUCAUCGUGUGUUGGUUAGGCAUUGCUCAAGACAUUUACUUGCUGUCUUUGUUUCUUCACAUUCCUCUGAGAGAUGCUAUCUCGGUGUAGCACUCAUCUGCAUGUUUACACAAGUUGUAUUUACAAUUAGAUCUCUGGAUGGCUCUCAUUUUGUUACAUAAGCCUUGCCUGGAUUUUGUAUGCAGAUCCUUGUGAGAACCAAGCUCGCCCCUGUUCCAUAUGCUUCUAAUUAUUUAUAGAAUAUAUAAAUCAAGUGCUACGUUUGGCUCUAUAUAGAUAAGCUUUCUUUGCUUCUAAUGUAGUUCUUCAUAAAUUAGGAAACACUUUUAGUUCAUGGAAGUUAUCUUUGUAACUAUUAAUUUUUUGUACCAUUCAAUUCUGAUAGCAUGAAGUAACAGUUCUUUUGUUUGGCAGAUCUAUUGUACACACUAUCAAGUUUUCCGAGGGACUUGAACUUUAUAGAGCACACUAGCGACAUUGGAUGGAAGGAGUACGUAAGACAUGUUAAUUCUUAGAUUGGGAUCUUUGUGUGGUACUUCUAUUUAGAUGUUCUUUUCUGAAAAAAAGUUGGUUUCAGUAAUUCAUUCUUGAGAAGUCAUUGUAUGGUCUGUGGUGCAGGUAUCACAGGGCUAAGCCUGUUAUUAUAGACCCUGGGCUUUAUAGCUCGCAAAAAACAGAUGUGUUUUGGGUUUCUGAGAAAAGGAGUGUACCCACUGCAUUCAAGCUCUUCACAGGUACAAAAUCUAAUUCUAACCCAAUAGUUCAUGUGUAUAAGAUUGCUCAUGGUAAUAUCUCUCUUGCAUACCCUUGUGCAAAUCCUGCAUUUCGCAGUAGGUUGCAUGUAUGUUGGAGAUUGUUUAAACAAUCCUGUAUGGUGGGAAACUGUCAACUGUCUGCUUAAACUUGGAAUUAUGACAGUUAUUUAAUUGGCCAUUUACUGUCAUGGGCUGUUGCAGCUAGAAAGUUGUGGCAGAUUGAUCCUUCUGCUGCCAUGAUACAGAGAUUGGCAAUUUGUUACCAUCUGCUUUAUGCUACAGAUGAUUGAACAGUGCACAUAAUAUUUGUUGGUCUAUUCAUAUCUGUGUGAAUCAAUAUUUGUACACAAAUGGCACCUAAUAUGAUUAACAACUUUUUGUGCAGAAGUUGUAUGACAGGUCUGGCUUUUGGUUUGAAUAAUACAAUUACAAGAUUUGUCAGCAUACAGAUAUGCAUAUGAUAUGGUUAAAUGCAUAUGAGUUGCAUACAUAUUGCAUGGAUAUACAUAUGAGUUGCAUUUCAGUAUCCCAAUAAUCCGGAUUUAAAAAUUUUACCAAGUAUUUGAUCUAAAGCAAGAGAAGUUAUUUGCUAGUUUUUAAAGUGUUUGUAUAUUCUUUUUCUCCUUAGGUUUACCAAAGGUGAGGGAAAGUUUCAAGGAUUAGGAUCAGGAUUGAUACUAGAGUCUAGGAUCAUAAUUUAAAUGGGCUACAGUAUGGUUUUCGAGGUCAAGAGGAAUUAGCAUGGGUUAUGAUAGAACCAUCUACAACUACCUAGAAUUGGUAGGGACUUCUGAACUACUUUUGGAUUGUUUGGCUCCAGCUGAAUGAUUUCAUUUUUUUUGGGAAUUCUAAAUUGAUCCAGCGGAUCUGGAUUAAGAUUGGUGAAUCCUUUAAAACAAGGGUAGGACCUAGGUGCUUUAUUAAAGAAAUCCUGGGGCUCAAAGGUGUACGCGGCCACUGCAAACAAUACAGAGGUUGCUGAAAGAGGUAUUUGGAAACCAUCUGGGUUCAAUUUCUAUGAUUAUCUGACCUAUUAGUUCAUAAAAUUACCUUAUGAUGCAGUGAAAAGCUAAAUUGUUUGCCUUUAAUCUCAUCAAGGUAAAUAUGUGGUAAAAAUUAGAAAACUGGUCGAGGUUGAAGAAGAGCUUACUGUAGGACAGAAGUGUAAUAAGCUACUCUCAUUUCUAGUUAUGGAUAUUUUAUCAUCUUUGGAGAAAAUGGGGUUGGUUCACGGGAUCUGCCCUUGUUCAUGAUGCUCUGAAUAUGAGAGAGGAGGGAGAGAAGAACAAGAGAUGAAGAGAGAAGGGUGAUAUAGGUGCAUGUCAAAGCCUUUGAUUUACAUUCACCUUGUGUUUGGCUUCACAAUUUCCCCUUUGGGCCAUGAUUUCUGAGUGUAAUUUUCUUCAAUAGGCUAUCAUUUGGCUGCUUUCUCAAAUGAUGCAUAGAACAGAUCGUUUUUAGUUUAUUUAUUUCUCCAGGACAAAUUAUGUACCAACUUGUUACAGGAAUAACUUGGAUAACAGUGGACUCUUGUGUCUGCUCUCUUUAUAAUUCUUUGUUUGAACCUAACUAUGUAGAUUUCAUGCUGCUUGUCAUUAGAAAUUAUUUUUUGCUUUUGCCAUUUACAUGUGGUGCUGCACAUGCUUCCAUUAGCAGGAGAAUGAUUUGAUUCUCCAAGAUUUCCCCACAUCAUAAUAUAUUGUGUGACAAGUCUCAUAAUCAGAAUUUGCAUAGGGGUUUCACAAAUUCUCAUAGCUGUGAGCAAUAUUUUUCAUUUGUACAAGCUACAGAAAGUGUGAAAAAUUACGGAGCAAAUUAAACCUCCAGUUUAACCCAAAUGUUGAAACCUCAUAUUUUAGCAUCAAACGAUGCUAAAUCUAUCUACAUGUUCAUCAUACAUGUGGCUAGCCUAUUCUCAUCUCGCCUUUGUUAUCAUAAUUAUCACACUAAUUAUCCCAUGUCUUGUAGGUCAUCAGUAAUAUUGAAUAUCAUGUUCUGGGUGCAUAGAAAUUUUAUAUCAAAGAUGGAUGAUAUACACAAAAGGAGAAAUGUUUCUCAUAUGUUUACAAAAUAUGAUUUAAAUGGAACCAUGAUCUCUAAGAUAUUUGCAAUUUAUUGAAUUCUGGUUAUCUUCCUUUCUCCCUUCUUUUCACUUCUACUUGCUUUGGUACAUUGCAAUCUUUUGUUAAUCUAUUAACUUAGCUAUUCUGUGAUGCUCAAAAUCCAGCUCCUCUCAUUGUUAAAAAAUAAGUAGAUUUUGCCAAUAUACAAUUGCUACUUAUUUGAUGGCCUAAAGAAGUUGAACAUGCCAUUUAACACAUUGGAUGGUUUUUAUAUUCAUAUAACUCGUGAAACUAUACUAUGGGAUUAUUGUGCCAGUUAUACCUGUUAUGCAGUGGUGAGGAUCUGAAUAUAGCACAGAAUUCAUUCUUUAUCUUGAUAUGUUGAUUCUUUUAUUAUCACAUAGAAAUGUUUGGUGACGUGUGUGGGUUUUAGCAGUAUGUAAUGAAUGCUUCUUUUUUAUUAUUGUACAAGAUAAAUGUUCAAAUAGCAGAGAACAUGUUGUUGAUUCUAUUGUUAACAUAAUUAUAAAGUAAUAAUUGGAUCAUUAAUGAUUGAUUUCUUGGCAGGCUCUGCUUGGAUGAUGCUUUCUCAUCAGUUCAUCGAGUUCUUGUUAUGGGGGUGGGACAACCUCCCAAGAACAGUUCUGAUGUAUUAUGCAAACUUUCUGUCAUCUCCUGAGGGGUAUUUCCACACUGUAAUCUGCAAUGCGCGUGAGUUCCGCAACACCACAGUCAACCAUGACCUUCACUUCAUAUCUUGGGAUAACCCUCCGAAGCAGCAUCCUCACCUUCUCACACUAAAUGACUUCUCAAGGAUGGUCAGCAGUAAUGCUCCAUUCGCAAGGAAGUUUGGCAGAGAUGAUCCAGUACUCGACAAGAUCGACAAGGAGCUCUUGGGCCGUGAUCCUGAUGGUUUUGUGCCUAGUGCAUGGUAUGACAAUCUGAAGAUGGAUACUGGCAAUAAUCUACCAUUUGCAGUGAGGAAUGUCACUGAGCUGAGGCCUGGGGCAGGUUCCCAGAGGGUCAAAGCCCUAAUAACGGGUCUGCUUUCAGCAGAUGGUUUUGAGAAGAAGCAUUGCAUUUGAUCAUAUGAGUUGUAAAUUUCUUGAGCUAUGAUGCUUUGAGCUGUCUUGAGCCUCGUCAACUCAAAAGCAGUGAAUAGGUGCAGGAGAUCUGUUACUUGCCCGGAAGGUCAUAACCUGGAAAGGGUAGGAAUCUAUGCAAAUAAUGACUUAUUUUGCUUCUCGUUGGUGAUAGAGUUAGUAUGUAAAGCAGCUAAUCUCAAACUCCCUGGCCUUGGUGGAUUACAAUCUGCAUGUGGGCAUCAACUAUCCAUCAAUGCCGAUAUCAGUCACUAAACGCCCUAAUGUAUCAGCAUAUUUCGGCGGCUUCGUUCUGCAGAGAUUCAUUCAAUGACUAAUUUAUGUGCUAUUUGUUUGAUCAUUGAGAGACAUUUCAACAUAUGCCCCAUGGCAUAUUUAUACUCGAGGUAUCUCAUCCUUGCAAAUUGCUAGAGACAGUUAACCAACCUAUUUCAGUAUCAACCCUUUCAGUUGCAUUGUAUUAUAACUGUGAAGCAGUCACUAUGAACUCUCCUGUCUUAAACAAGAAAUUAUUGUGCUGUCUUCCAAAGUAUACUUUAACAAUCACAGUUGGAUCACUUGAUGAUAUAUCUAUCUCACUGAACCAACUUGCAUUUUGUUUGCAGGCCAAACAGAAAAAAAGAGACUACAUUACUGACUGAGAAUACAAAUCAACCUUAAAAUGCACAAAGGAAAACGAACCUCUGUCAGAUAAUAUCAGCCAACUCUUUCUUCGUACUUGCGAAGCAUGUCAUCAGUUUGUUUGCGAGUCACCAAAGAAUGGUUCAGCUCCUAAGCAUCUCAUCGGCGUCGAAAUCAUCAUCAUCAUCAUCAUCAUCAAAGCCAUGCCGUGAUGAGGCCGUACCAAGAGCAGGCUCUUCAGAUCCACAAAGAUCGUACCUUUCCCGGUUCUCCGCUUCGCUGACGCACUGGAAAGGCAUAGAGACUUCCUUGAAGGCCUCCUUACCUUCAACGACAGUUUCCGGUAUGCUCUGCGAACAUCCCCAAUCGUGCUCGAACCCCAGGAUCUCGUGGUAAUCUCUCUGUUCCCUAAUCUGAUGAACGAUUGCCACCUGCUCCUCUGUGUAGGAUCUUGAAGAUUCUAUUCCACCGGUUGCGGAAAGGAGAUCAUCGAGUGGGAGAGAGGGGUCGAGACGGCAGGCCUCGGAGAGGAGUUUGAAGGCACGCGACCGGUCCCCUGUACCUAGGGCUUCCAUUCCCAUCCUAAGACACUUCAAAACGCGAACGGAAAUCGAUUUCGAGUUGUCGCCUCGAGGAAGAACCGAUCUGCUCCUACCUUGGAUCGACAUAUUAGGGUUCGUAUUCGAAGCAGAGAGAGGAAGACGUCCGAUUCAUCGCAGGAAGUGGCCGACCUCAACGGCCAUCAGGAGGCGCGUAAGUCGGCUCAUCUUAGCCGUCCAAACGACGGAGGAACGUUUCGUGAGAUUGGCGGGAACGGGAACGCUACGUAUCCGGAUGCAACAUCCGCCGUUCGAUUAACAAUUGAUCUGCUCUGAUGGAUCAUUUUGCACAGUGUUGUAUAUAAUUAUUGCUGCAACCAUCUUAGAUUAUUUAUAUUCGUUAUCAUUAAUGUCAAAAUAAUCUUAUGGUACUUUCGUUAAGUUUAGAUAGAGCUGUGUUCGACAAUGCUUCCUUCUACGUUUCUGCCAUGCAUUCUGCUGCUGCUUCGCCGAACUGCUUACGUUGACCACCGGAUCAUAUUCUGCAAAGAAAAGAACAGACGCACGGCAGUCAGUGACAAUGAGACGUGAUUUCAUCUCACCGUUUGGCAGAAAGGAGAGAGGAAGAGAGGAUUCGUACUGUGCGUAUUCGACAUUGAUUUUUGUGUUUGGAAUCUUGGAAACAGCGUCGAAGGCUCUGUUCGACAAGACGAGGGUCGAAGGACACGGGCUGACUCUGCAGAAAUCCACCACUUGGACGACGAUGGAGCCGUCCUUGCAUGGCCGCCUGAGGCCGCUGAGGCACCGGAGCUGGUACUUUCUGCCGCAGGCAGCGCCGUUGUCCCACAUGCCAUUGCCUGCUGCCACGAAAAGCCCAUUCUCCGGCAGUUGAUCCUCGGUGUAGCCCGGGCAUUUCGUCGCUGCACCAGUGUAAACCAAGCCAUGAGAGAUGAACAGUGAAGACGAAGAAGAAGAAGAAGAAGGUCUUACGAAGAUAUGGAGGAUCGUAUGACGUAGCUGUGCCUACAUCUGCUGAAACUGUGACGAGAUAAACGUCGCAGAUCAAACCGAAGAGCAUCGCCACUGCCACCCACCGCUCUCUCUCCAUCACCGAGCACGUUUUGCCUUCAGCUGAGUCGCUUGCAGGCUAAAUUUAUACUUGGGAGUGGGCGGCACCUCCAUUGCUCAAACUAAUACUAUCAUCUGUUCUUCCUCAUCCACUGCUGCACACGAUAAGAUUCAAUAGUGGAAAUCGUGUUGGUGGCUGGCUUACCCAAGCUUUCCGUCAUUUCCAUUCCCUAUGGGAUACAUCGUUCCUUUACGGAACUGAGGCUUUAUCUACGGUAUAUACAAAUGAGGUCGACAUGGGGAUGAUUAGCUAAGGAGAUCUAUCCUUUUCUUAUUGAUGGUGCUGUGAUAUGUCAUCAGAAUAAAUAUUUAUCUCAUUAGCUAUAGAUGAGGAUUAUGCCUUUGAUGGAGGAGUCACUCGCAGCUCAAAAUGGAACCGCGGAUUAGCAGCUGGAGAGACUUCGAGCACUAACGUCACAUCCUUUUGGCCGACCGCUCGCCAUUCGUUGAACUCCAUCUUCGGAUCAGCAUGAGCGCGUCACAGUGACAUUUGACGCUGCUUUGCUUUCUCUCUGCCGCUAGUGGAGCUUCUCAGCCUCUUUAUGGCCACUUCGUUUGGGAUAGUUGUAGCAAAGUUUUGAUCGUCUUCGACAGACAUGGCUGCGUUGCUGUAAGUCUUUGUUCUUUACUCAUACAGCAUGUGGGUUUUCUGAGUCUCUUAAUGAUGAUAUGUACCUGUCAUUCAGCUAGAAUUUUCACUAAAUAUAUAAUAUCAAGAUAAUUUAUUUUUCUUUUUAUAUAUACAACCAAAGCACUAUACCAAAUUAUCUACUAAUACGAAAAAUAUUCAUCCAAGUAAGACUUUGACAAGUGAUGGUCAAGAUCUUAUUGAGUAAUACGAACAUUAACCUAAUAUAAAAUGUUAUUUUAAGUUUAACAAAUUAUAAGGAUGGUUACUGUUUUACUCGCCUCCACUCUCUUUUAUCACUAAUUUGGGCGUCGGAGUGAUCAGAAAAUACUCAAUCUUGAUCUUCUUACAUGUAAGCAUUAUAUCAUGUGUUUAAGACCCCCUUAAUCACUUCCGAACACUUCUUACAUACACGGGCUUGAACUAAAUCAAGUUGAUCCGAUCAUUACAAAUAUCACAUAAUUGAAUAUGAUAUUUUUGAAUAAUUUUGAUCUUAGUAAUUUGAUGUAUAAGACCAUGUAAAUUGAAAAUGAAAAGAUAUAUCUAUUAUUAAUUAGGAUUGGUUGUAUAAAAAACGUAUAAACGGCUUGUCGUUUUAUCCCCAACCCAUCAAUUGAAUUAGUGAACGAGUGGGAGUCAGACUAAUUUAGGCGAUCAAAUAGAUAAAAAAAGAUUUAAAUGAUAAUUAACAGUUUUUUAGAGCCUUCUAUUAAUUCUUUUGUGGAGUAUCAUAUUCCUAUAUAUAAUAUUACAUUUCAAGACUUGAAAUUUAAAAAAUAAAAUUAAUUAAAAUCACAAUCUCUUCCUAAAAGCAACCAAAAAUAUUUUGAGUUUACGGGGAAAUAUGCAAUGUGUCAAUUAUUCAAUGACAAGUGCUAAGAACAUAUCCUCCAUUGCGAUGAAUGAGAUAUUAGAUAUGGAUUGGAUCACAAGAAUUCGAGAAUAUUAACAGAUUAUCGAUUAGUGAGUCAGUUCGAUUGGUUCUCUGUUAAAAAUAUAGGUUUUUUCUGAUGACUCAUCCCAACUAAUAUGGAGAGCAAUUUGUUGUGGGUAGGAUAAAAGAAUCUGUAUAGAGAGGCAGUUUGUCAAGAGCUACUUAGUCUUCGAGUAAUGAAGCUAAGUUUGAGAGCUAGGCAAUCCCCUCCUAAUUGCGCCUCCGAGCAACACUGAUAACCCUGCACAAUAUGCUUGUAUAUGAGGUAUCCCGACUCGACCUAUCUAAUGCUUAAAUCAAGAAAACAAAAAGGGAGAACGAUAAUAGUAUCAGCAAUAUAAUCAAGAGAGUAGAGAGUCUUUUUCCUACUUGUCCCAACUUGGUUCGACGCUUGAUUUUUAUACUUGGGCGUUGAGCGACCUGGACUUGCGUUCGCCAAGACCUCCCUUACCAUGUACAAUGAAGGCAUUAAUGAAGAUGGCUUCUUGGUGUGUGUCCCCCCGAUACCUAGGGCAAAUCGUUGGGGGAUGCUCCUAAGUUGACUUUCAUUAUCGCUUUGGAUUAGGUAGAUAGUGGUUCUUUCAUCAAAUAUUGAAAAGGGAAUGCCGUUAGACCAUGUCAUAAGUUAUCAAUACAAAGGUAUAACUUCUGUGUAUUAAUUCGAAAUGGAUCAUAUGGAUCUAUUUCCAAAAGCUAGGCGGUGCGACCCCUAGUCCCCAUACUUUUAUUUUAAGGGUUAUUUUUUUAACCUUGCAAUUAUCUUAUUAGAGAAAAUACUUAGAUUGACAUAUUAAGAUGUCAAUUUUCUUUUUUCUACGUUGUUAAGAAAAUGAUUUAAGAAAUAAUAAUAUAAUUUUUAUUAAAAUCAUAUCAAACUCGUUUACCAUCAUGUCUAAGUGAGAAAGAGAUAAAGAGAGAUUGGAUUUGGUAUGACUACCUAAGAAAAUUCUUCAUAAUUUCAUAUAUUUGACCUAAAAAAUUAUGUUAUAUUAGUUAUUCUCUCAUCUUUAACAACCAAAAAGUUUUCUUACUAUAUAAUCUUAUAAUUUAUAUUUUUAACAUAGCAUAUAAUUAUAUAUAAUCAUUUUUUUUCCAAAAAAUAAACCUAUGAUUCAAUUAAUUGAAUAGCACCGAGUUGCACUAAAAAUACUAUUUUACCCCUUGGAUUGACGACUCUCAGCUGUGGUAUGGGGAUAAUAUGGUCAUAUCAAAAGAUAUUUAGCACGUGCCGUAGAUACUGUCAUAGCACUAUUAUACCCCUAUGCGACCUUUAAUUUAUCGCUGUGAAGGCCGUGAAUUGUACCAUUUGAUUAGGGCAGUUAUGGGAUAAAGCAAGAUAAUUGAUGCUCUUCUUUGCUUGAACCCUUCCAACGGCGGGAUAAAGGAGGGAAAGGGGGGAGAAGCACCGGAUGGAAGGCCGAGGCUGAUCUCUCUCGCCCGUCCCCUCUCGCUUCUGUCGUCCGCUCGCCCGCCCACGGCGAGAUCGACGAUAAGUAGGGGCGGGGAAGGAGAAGGGAGUUGUGGGCUUCGAUUUCUCUCAUUCUGGGUUGAUUCCUUCGCCCGCCGUCCGAUUGCUUCGCGUGGAGCGUUCGGGUGACCGUCGUACGAUUGAGUUUGUUGGAUUCUUCUGUCGAAAUCUGGUUCGAACUCCGCCUUUACCUGAUGAUGACUCAUACGAAUCUUUUUUUGGUUUCGGAUAUUAACCGCGAAAAGGAAGGCAGUGCUUUUCUUGGAUUAUCGUUUGAUUUAUUUUUUGACUUGCAAUUUGGUUCCCGCUUCAUUGUGCCAUGCCAUAGCGCAGAAUUCUGCUUGAGUUCCUCUCCUCGAAAAGACCCAUUUUUUGGCUGCAAUCUUUACAGUUUCCUCUGUCUCUCAUUCUUCCAUCUAAUUCUUGCAUUUUAGGUGUUUCGGCUCUUUUUUUUGUUGUUGCAAUCUUAAUAGUUUCUUCUUCUUUUUUUCUGAUUCUGCUGAAUGAAAGGCUUUUUAUUUCCUGUAUUUUUACUGUCAGAUUUGGUAAAAUGCAGCUACCAUGUUACAUUCUUGCCCUCACAUUUGUCUUCGGAUUUGGUUACCGAAAGUACCUUGCGAACAAAGGGAGAUGGAUAUGGACGCUUUAGUACUGUAAUCGUAAAUCCAAUUGUUGUACUGAGAUUGAAAUGGCUGACAAGAGGUUGCAAGCGGUUGCGGUUGCGGUUGGGAAGAAGAGUGAUGGGUUCCUUCUCCCCUUUCCAGGAUUGGGCUUUUCAUGGAACUCCCAGGAGGGAUUUUACCGCUCUGAUGGCUUGUUUGCGAGUGUUGGGCAGAUGGGAGUUGGCUUCGGGGUUUCUCCGAAUUCUCCUAAGCCUACAAACAACAGCGCAAAGGUGCCGGGAAUUGAUCUCUACGUCAAGUAUGUGUCCCCGGAGGUUGGGUGUCGCGUUCUGGGAGCUGCCACCGCGUCUGCAGUUGAAGCGACUGAUGUCAUAGAGGAAGCAGUGGUUAGAAAGAAUGAGAAGAAGGGUGGGUUGAAAGUGAAGAUUAGGAUAGGAAACCCCCAUUUUAGAAGAUUGGUCAGUGGAGCAAUUGCUGGAGCAGUGUCACGGACCACAGUUGCGCCUUUGGAAACGAUCAGGACGCAUCUUAUGGUAGGAAGCAAUGGGAACUCAACAGCAGAAGUGCUCCAGUCUAUAAUGAAGACGGAGGGGUGGAAAGGGCUCUUCCGUGGCAAUUUUGUCAAUGUCAUCCAUGUUGCACCAAGCAAGGCCAUUGAGGUAUUGAUUGUGUUGAUCUUAUCUCGGAUAUGUUUCUGGUUUAAGAAUCAUGUUCAGCUCUGAGACAUCAUAUGUGUGUUCCUUACUAAUACUUUCUUUCAUAGGAGUUUAUAGCCUUGUGCCGGUUGAUAAAAGUUAUAUGCUGUCAACUUCUUUUUUGUGGUUUAUCUCGUUAUUACUCGAUAAAGAUUUCUGGAAAAAGUUGUGAGAUGUCUUAUGGCAAUUAUUUUUGAAGGUUAAGAAGCAUCUGUUACUUCUCUGUUGGCUUAAUCUCUUGCUCCUUUUCAGUUUGAUUAUGUUGGCCAUAUGCAAUUUCUGCAUUUUCUUACCUUAUGCUGAACAAAAGGAUUUUGUAAAGUUCAUCCAUUGUGCUAGAUUCAUCUAAUUUACAGUUCUAUUGGCUAGGCUCAUGUUCCUUCUCUUUUUUCUUUUAUUUGUCUUAUAUUAGUUUUAGUUAACCUGGAACUCUUAAAAGAAAAACUUUUUGCGGUCCUUAUCCGAAGGAUGCACCUGGAUCUUUUAUCGUACAGAUAUGAUGGAUAGCAUCCUUGUGUGUGUUUUUCUGAAGAGUAGAUAUGUGGCACCUUUUGUUCUUGAUUAAGUCAAAGCAAUGUACUAUUUGAAUUCACUAUGAUGUUUUUAGGUGCUUAUUAUGGACAAGAGAAAAGAAACAAUUGAAUAAUUUGAUCAUACUAUGUUGCAUACAUAUGCAGUCUCUGCUAAUCAUCUUGUGCGUUUCUGAGCUCCUUAUGGUUUAGCAUAGUUAAGUCAAUUAUGAAAUCGACAUUUUGUCCUGGCUUUUUGAUUUUGACAUUUUUGGCAUGGUUUUGUACAUUGUAUAAGAUGCUUAUUUCGGUUCACCUGGUAGUUAUUUGCUUAUGACACAGCUAAGAAGGUUUUGACCCCUAAGGAUGGAGAACUACCCAAACUUCCCAUCCCCUCGUCGAUCGUCGCAGGGGCAUUUGCUGGAGUCAGCUCAACCCUCUGUACAUAUCCUUUGGAACUACUCAAGACUCGACUAACUAUACAGGUUCGCAAAAACCCCUCGAGUGUUUAUCUUGCAUAUACAAUUUUCAUUUUAUUUGUGCCGCUUGUGCAGAGAGACAUGUACGACAAUCUUCUACAUGCUUUCCUGAAGAUCGUACGUGAGGAAGGUCCUUCGGAGCUGUACAGGGGUCUUACUCCAAGUCUCAUAGGAGUCAUGCCGUAUGCUGCCACUAAUUACUUUGCUUAUGAUACCCUAAAGAAACUUUACAGAAAGACAUUCAAGACGGAGGAAAUCGGCAAUGUUGCCACUCUUCUGAUUGGUUCAGCAGCUGGUGCUCUUUCGAGCAGCACCACAUUUCCGCUUGAAGUUGCUCGGAAGCAUAUGCAGGUCGGAGCCGUUGGUGGCAGGAAGGUCUACAAGAACAUGCUUCACGUGCUCUUGAGCAUACUGGAGAAGGAAGGGAUCGGAGGGCUCUACAAAGGGUUGGGGCCGAGUUGCAUGAAGUUGGUGCCUGCUGCUGGGAUCUCAUUCAUGUGCUAUGAGGCUUGCAAGAAGAUCUUAAUCGAUGAGGCAGAGGAGGAUGCAUAAUUCUAUUAUAUUCUCCUAACAACGAUGACGGAACCACGAACUAAGACAUUUUGAAGCUUUCGAGCACUUGAAGUUUUUUCUCAUGUUGUUUAGAUUUUUUUUAGAUUAAAAAUAUUAUAUUUAAUAAUGAUGCAGAAUGUAGCUGAUAAGUCGUCGUUGUCAUCAGUUUAUUAGAAGAGAAAAAUUUUGCCAUCACUGUAGACUUAUUUUCUGUUCCUCAUAAAUAAACUGUAGUUUAGAUAAUACAACUGAACAGUAGUUUCAUUGCUUCUUGUUCUUUGCCUUUCUAUAUCAUUGCUUUUCUAGGAGUCCGGUUUUGUGCUUGAUAUUAUUGGCUGAAGUAAGUUUAAGAGACUGCUUUUGUCCAUUUACCGGUGGAUGGCAAUGACUGUUCAUCUGUGGCAACGAUCAUUGAUCUAUUGUGGUUCUUAAAACAUGAUAAUUCUCAGUUGCAAGUCGCUUAAAAUUUAGUCCCCGACAAAUCUAACCAGCAAGCAUCAAUUGAGACAAAUCUAACCAGCAAGCAUCAAUUGAGACGAAACAAAUGUGUUGCCAUCAACUCGAAGAAAAUGACAUCAAUCAAAUAACCUUGAUCAUAAAUAAUGAGAAAAAACAAAUAUGUUCUUUAAUUCACAGAAAUAACCCGCAAGGUAAAUAACAAUAUUGUUCUGUCAACCCAAGAAAACAAAAACAGUGAUGGGAUUCAUUCGUUCAGGUCUGCUCCUCACCAUCUUCAGCAUCUCUCUCUGUUGCUGCAGCCAUCAACUCGUCGAAGUUUUCCGUCUUCCCCAGCAAUAUCUCAAUCUGUGCAGGAGACUCAAAUCAAGCACAACUAUGAGUCAUCAUAAUUCUAGCAAGUCUUACCUUUGCUUUCUGCAUAGGUCGUCCCCUGGAUUCAUCCUUCACAUCAACCAUAGACGUCAUAAUCUCUGCAGAUUUGUUUUCGAAAAAAAAAUUAACUAUAAAGAGUCUCGACUCUGGUAUUCUUUCCAAAUUGUAAUCUAACAGGUGAAAAUAAGAAUCCAAAAUCUUACUCCUCUCAACAGCGAGACCGUUGUUUUUGAGAAUCUCAGCAAUGGUGACUACAGUUGCGAUGGCUGAAAAGUUCCCACGAUAACAAAUGAUCAUCCAUGGUAAGGUGAAAUUUGUUACAAGCAAACUACAUCAGCAUAAGUAUCCUCUGUCUGUGUCAACUAGAAAUUUAACUUUUCAGACACAAGCAACUACUGUAGCAACAUUAUUAUUAUUUAUUUCACUUGAGUUUGAGCUCAGUAGAUAGGGCAUCAUCAACCUGAUAACACGAACAUUCCAUGAGUUCCUAAUGAUAGAAUGUAAGCAUAUAAAUCUCCUCCAUUGUUUUCACCAGUGAAAGAUUCUGUUGCAUCUUCUUCUUUUUUUAAGUUAGCUCGAUAUACGUAAGCAGAGAAUUCCAGUUCCUUUUCUUCUUCCAAUUCUCCAACUCGUACGAAUAUCUAGUUGAUUAUUAAAAAAUUCGACACCAGAAAAUUUCUCAAGACAAAGCAAGCAGUCAAGCAUUAACACCGUGGAACUUUACAAAGGGAAAAAAAGUGAAGGAUCACCCAAAGGAAGCCUAUGAAACAUCGAUAGCUCUAAUUGUUUGUCGGAUAUGGAGAUGUGCCUGGAUAUGUGUCUUGAUCAGCUAAGCACAAGAGCAUAAUAAACCAAUAGGCUAUUAGAUCAUAACAAUUGGUAGCAAAAUAAUUAUGUUACACAUAUGCCAUUCUCACAAUUUACCUGUUAAGACAUAAAUGAGAGUCCAAUCCAUCAAAUUAGUUUCAGCAUAAGAAGAAUUACCAAGACCAUAGCCCAAAGAAAUAGACUUGAAUAGUGCUUGUUCGUGCGGAAGAAGAUAUAUAUUGCGAAAGCAGUUACACCCAACAUUGAUAGGAGGAACGAUAAUAGUAGAGCAAGGAAGCAAUACCCAUUCCAAGAGCCGAAAGCUCCACUUCAUUGUGUUGCUGCAUGUACCUCUGCAAACAAAAGUAUCAUAGAGUUAUCGACUAUUACAACGAAUAAGAGAUACACAGAGCACUCGAACCUCAGUCAUGGACACUAAAAUAUAUCAACUUGAGGCCAAAAUUAAGAGAAAAAGCACAAAUGAAAUAUAACGCCAGAAAAUCCAAGAAAUUUCUUCUCAUUCUGGGGCAACAUCAACUAAGGUUAGGGUUUGGCACCUUAGCGAGAUUGACAUAGAAAAAGAGGGGCUUCUUCGUAUUCGAGACUUGAAUCCGGUUCUUCUUGUAGGAAUCGGCGUUGACGCUGAGAUUGUUGAUGCCUUCCGUGACCUCCUCCAUCGACGCUCGUUUCGCUUACAAUCUGCCAAGAGACGAGAGAGAGAAACCCUAAUGCGCGCCCACAACCGAAAAGAGACAAAUACGUUAUAUAUACCACUAGAAAUAAUACAUGUAUAUAUAUACAUGUAUAUAACUCUGUGGACUCGGCGAGUUGAGUCACAGCCCCUCCCGAGCUUUGUCCGAGUCAUACCAAGACUCGGCGAUUCCAAAGCCCAAACGACUCGCGCAUUACAGGAGGGAUCCCCUACAACUCCAUCUACUUUUAGUAUUAUACAAUUCGCACGUCACAACCGUCCAUUAGAACCAGCGCAACUCACACCCGUGUGAUCCCCAGCAACCUUGAACGUGGGAUCCGAUUCACCUGUGAUCGAGAUGCGUCAGUUACGCGCCAAAUAUUGUUAUUUAUAGACUAUUGAUAUAUAUAUAUAUAUAUAUAUAGUAUAUGUAUAUAUAUAUAUAUGUGCAUGUAUAUAUAUACAUAUAUAAAUAUAUAUAUGUAUGUAUAUAUAUAUACAUAUAUAUAUAUGUGUAUAUAUAUAUAGUAUAAAUAAUACUGCUAACUUUUGAUGUUAUUUAAAGUAUCAACUAACAUUUAUAAAUAAUUAAUUGAUAAAAAUAAACAAUAAUUAACAUCUAAAAAUGACAUGGAUCUUUUCAAAUGAUAAUGUUUUCCAAAUCUUAUGAAGAGCUAUACAAUGAGGGGCACAAAAACUCAUAAAGCAAAUCAAAUUCCACAGCAUUACAAUUCACUUUCUUACUAAUCUCAGAAUAAAACACUGAAAAAUAAUGUACAAAAGCUGUUACUUGAUACAAAUUCCACAACACAUCCAAUCAUAGAUGCCUUUCCUUUUCUUGGUCAUUUCUGAACCCUUUCACCACAAAUACUAAUGAGACUUGUUAAUGGGAGACAGCAUGUGUCUUGCUUGGAUCAUUCUCCUACUGACCUUCUCCAUUGGCACUGCUGUUGGAUCCUCUCCUGCUAACCGUAGUAUUUUUCAAGAUCUGCAAGAGAAAUAUAGGCUGCAAAAUUAGAAGAGUUUCAUAACGGCGAGUGAUUUCAGAUGGAUGAUCCAAUUAGCACGAGCCAAAGCAAAAUAAAUCAUGGUUAAUACCUCACAACACGACUAAAGAUGCUAAAGAUACAAUGAAAUGACAGACUAGGAUGCUUCUGCAACAUAUGAGAGUUCAUGGCCGAAUAAAGUCAUGAAUAAUGUUUUUAUAAAGCAAAAAACACAAGCAAAAGAAUUUUGUUUGGUAAAAGUCUUUCACAAAGCAAAUAGUCUCAUGCCACAGAAGCAGUCCUGUGAAUCGUGUGGUGAUUACAUGGUUUCGGUAGCUACAAAUGACUCAAUUAUCCAUGAACAGCAACUUCAUCGUAAGAAAUCUGGAUUUUCUCACAGAUGAUGAUGCAUUUGUUUAUUUGUUUUUGUUAGCAAAUGAAUGCAACAUAGAACACACAUGUUGGACCAUUGUGGACAUGUUUUGGAACGAAGUGCAAGUCAAUACAGCUAGGCUGCAACUGCAGAAAUUGCUGGUUCAUACAAGCAACUCAAAGGUGCUUGUGAGAACUGAAAAUGAUCUGUGCAGAAUUUGCUAUGUCAAAAUGGCAAGAAAUGACAAAAUCUCACAUCAGCAGCCAUCGCAACCGAAAAUAUUCCCCGAAUUAUCCUACUUCAAAAAGUUCUUCACUAACCGCAAGAUAUUAGGCUCUUCGGACUAUCCACAUACUCCACCUUGGAACUUCACUAAUUUAAGCAUCGGAAAGAUCUGAGUCAGAAAACCCGACAUCAGACUCCUGCAGGCACUUGGGAGGAUCUCGACACUACCCUAGGUCGAGUCGUGCCUGUCAUCCCUUUAAGGAACUGACUUUGGUGAUAACAGUGUUUACAAACCAUAGGUUUAAGAGAAGUAAACAACUCUAGGUUCAGGAAGUCAUUGUAAUAUGAUAUAUAUAUACACACACAUAACAGGCAAGUUUUGGUAGCUUGAUGAAGAAAGUUAUAUGGCUCGAAUUAUGCAUUCAUCAUGCAGUGAAUCUAAAAGUAUGUUCAUCUUUGACAGGUAGAAAAAUGAACCAGAAAAAAUCAGGUCUUGUUUAACUCGAAGUAACAAGUGGCGAUAAGUAUAGUGGCUAUGACAAUGAAUGUUAUUAGAGUCGAGAAGACAUACUUGUCUCAGCAUGUUGUUCUCAUUCUGCAAUGUGGACAUCCUCUCCUCCAGUUCUGAGUUCUUGGCCUCCAAAUCCUUCACCUUGGCCUCCAAAUCAUUCAGGUAAGCCUUCUUCCUCUCCCUGGCUUGCUGGGCUGACACUCUAUUCCUCAGCAGCCUUUUGUUGGACAAGACACAUCAUACAGUAAAAGACAAGACAAAAGUCAUUCCCAAAAUUCCCGAUGGAUUAAACGUUAUCCAAACCUCUUCAGCCGCUUGUGCUCCUUGUCGGCCGGGCUCCUCCCUCGCCGCCGCUGGCCGCCCUGGGCGGCAGACUGGGCCCGGUCCGGACCAGCCGUCGAGCCGGCCUCUCUGCCGGAGGUCGAUGUACCGGCCGGCUCGAACCCGAAUUCCGGCACUCUCCUGAUCUCCUCGUCGCUCUCCAUUCCUGAAUCAGGGGACCCAAGAAAAGCCCAAUUUCGCCAUCACGUCAAGAAAAAAGAUCAAAACUCCACAAGGCAGCACGAACAAGAACAGCAAAACAACAAAAAUCCCUCAUUAAAAAAAAAAAACGCAAUUUUGACGAAGCAAAAAACGGCGAAAAAGGUACAUUGGUCGAAUUAAACCGAAAAAUAUCUUCAUCUUGGACUGGGAAAGCACAAGCUCCUUUAAAAAAGCGAUUUUUCCGCAAAAUCCAUGAGAAUCAAUACAAAAGAAGAAGAUUGCCUUCUUUGACUUCCAUCUGGGGGGCAGAACUCGAGGACCUCUCGCUGCUCGAAGGAAGUGAGCUGGUAGUCUGAUCCUGCAGCAUCCUUCCCCUCCUCCUCCUCCCUAUAGAGGGAACAGAUCUACAGAGUGGAAGAAAAAGUCUCUCUCUCUCUCUCUCUCUCUCUCUCUCUCUCCCACCUUUUGGGAAGGAAGGAGGGGGGGGAGGAGGAUGGGCUGGUGAUAUCAAUGGGGGGUUUCGGGGUUUAAAGGCGCGAUUCUAGCCGUCCGAUGUGGGAGCAUCGGACAGUAGAGAGUGCGUGAUCGUGGACGAAGGAGGAGCCACGAAACCCAGGGGGGAAUCCAAAGGUGCGCAGGCGGCGAGCGUGGAGAGUUACUGACCGUUCGAUUCAUAUCAAAUCGAGUGGUCGAUAAGCCCCGUGCAUUGAAUCCGGUCUUCACCGUUUAGUCAUUAAUAAUAAUAACAUACCUCCAUUAUUUUUUUCUUGAGCAUAUAUCUAUUUUUCCCUUCUUUUUAAUGUUCUUUAUAUGAUUUAUUAAAGGGUUUUACACAACAUACUUUUCCUUUUCCUUAGAUUUAGUUGAGUGUCCCUCUCUGUCUCUGUAUGAUAAUGGGGACCAUUGGUCCACCAUAAGGUAAAAAUCAUAAUUAAUUAUCAAAAUUAUAUUAAAUUUAAUUAUCUCAUCAUAGAUGAUAAAAUAAAAAAAAAAUUAACUGUAAUAUAAAAAAAUAAUUGAGACUUAUGAUUUUAUUGUUGUUUUAUUGUUUGUUUAUAGGAAGAAAAUAAAUAUCUUUCCUCAGAAAAUAAAAAUAAAAAUUAUUUGAAUCUCAAGAUAUUUGUAAGUGCAAUUUUUUUUUAACACAUAUUGUAUGAAUUUAAACACUUAUUGAUUAUGCAAUAAUACGAGUGAGAUAAUCAUCUUCUUAUAUUGUAUUAAUUAGUAAUUGAGAAAUGAUCAUUUAGGUACUAAAAUUCCUUUUUUCCUAGAAUGUAAAAUGCAUGGUAUCUCUCACACCAUGUGAAUUGUAUUUGUUUUUUAAGGAUGGGAAUUGCUUGAUGAAUGCUACAAUCUAAAUGAGAGCACUCUUUGGACAUGGAUAAUACAGAAGAGGAGAGGAGAUUUGGACUUGACAUGCCCUCCUAUGUUGAUCUGUCCACAGGAUGGGAAUAAUUCUUGGUUGGUCAUGCAUCCUUCACAUUUCCCACAUCAGCCAUGAGGUUGUGAGAUGACUUGGUACCACCUGGAUUUUUAUGAGCCAAAGUUGGGCAUUCUCUUUCCACUGAAAUGAUUGCUGGGAAAAGUAGUUGGAGAAUUGAAUUAGAAGAAUGAAAACUUGCAGAGAGAGAAAAUGACUCCUCAUUUUUGUCUUUAGACUUCAAUUCACCUCUCACCAUGUGUCCAGAAAAGUUGCCCAGCAAAGAGAAUGGCACUGUGCAGAGACAAUGGUGUCUCAAAGGAUCAGAACCAUGCACACUCAGCAAGAAAGCCAGGUUCAAUUCUUCUCUGUUUUCUUCCAAGAUGCAUGUAUACUUGGUAGAUGUUGCCAACAGCAAUCAAGUUACUUUCUUCAGUGGUCCACUGAUGAGUGGACAAGCAUUCAUUUGCCUUCACUGCAUCUUUCUUUGUCGCUUUCCUCUUUCUAUGGGCAUCCUUUUCCUCGUUGCAGAUCCCAUCUUCCUUCAUGUACACUUGCUCUGCACAAUUUAGACUCCCUUUCAUCACUUGGACAUGUCCAGGUACCCAGGAUGAAUCUUUAAGCACUUGCCAAACCUUAACAUGAAGAAUCCCACAGGUCUAGGUGCAGAGAUCAAUCAAAAGAAGCUAGACAGCUUUGCAUAAAAGAUAGAGUUUGACAGCUGCAAGGGUCUUUUCUUAGGCAGAUUUUUGCAAGUAAAAAGAACUGUCUCCAUAAUUUUGACAAUGAAGAUGCCUCACCUGCUGUCCUCCAAAUAUGUACACAGGCAUUCAAGGAAAGUCCAAUUGAGAGGGAGAGAGAGAGAGAGAGAGAAGAAUAAUUUGAAUAUUAGCUACCCUUAUCCUAGGCACACAAAACAUUAUGAAAAUGCAUCCAGUGAAACAUCCAGCAUGUCUUACAAUGUUGUUGUAAAAUAUAAACUCCUAGGUAGAUCAUGGAGAACAAAAGAAGCUUCCCAGAAACUGUCUUUGCAAAGAUUAAAUAGCAUGAUGCACUUGCCAAUUAUUUUCCAGGUACAAACCUGGGGUACAAAGAACAUAUGACUUCUAGAACACAUGAUGCAUUGGAGAAACAGAUUUGAAACAUCCAUAAGGUUAAUACAAAAGAGGACACAUGUACCAAUGGAUCUAGUGAUAUUGGUGCACAAUUGGUAUAGUUGCAUCUGGAUAGAUUCUAUUUAGAAGAAAAGACCAGGGAAAUAAUCAGCAGAAUCAUAAGUUGGACAGAGAAUUUAAUUGCUUAGCUAGCCCAUGGUUGCAAUUUGCACCUUCAUGAACCCAUGAAGAUAUCAAAUGAUGAGCGAUCGCAUAGGGUCCAGGAACGAACAUUGGUGCGAGUUCUCCACUUUCCACGUUAAAGUCUGAAGAGAAGUUCUGACCUCUCUCGACACCCCCGCACAUUUGGUUGACCUUCAAGGCAGCUGUCUUUUGAGCUUUCUCAUAUUCGGCAAAAGUAAGUGCCUUUUUGACAUCCUCUCUUUUGUGCCACUGAGCAUCUGAAGAAAAGAAGUAUAUAGUAUAUUUCUGCUGCGUUGUCGUAGUUGCCACUUUCUAUGAAAACUACUGAAUAUACUUACCUUCUAGCUCCACCUUGUCCACAUGAAUAUCAAAUGAUUUGGCAUAUGCAAAGAACCCCACCAUCAACUGACUUGGCAUACUGCUAGGCCCAACUGAGAAAAUAUAAAACUUCGUCAAUUUUGUUUGUGCAUGCUUGUCUUUGAUUUAGAAUGGUAAAAAAAAAUAAGCAUAAAGCUAAAACAUCCUCAUGUUAUUUCAUUUAUUUUCUUGAAUAUUUGUUUCCCAUUGAAAUAUGAACCACGUGACUAUAUACUUCAGUGUUUUUAAAUAUCAGAAAAAAUCACAGCAUUUCAUUCAGUUGAGUGCAUCUCAGAUACAAAAGUGCCUUUAAGAUGCUUGACUACAUACGAUUUUUUAUAAUUGAAAAUAUUCACAUCUUCCUUUUUAUGACUUUGGAUCUUUUCAUGGACUACAUUUAACUGAAACCAAUAGUCGUAGAAAAUCUCGGGUACAUUUGUUUCUAUUAUAUGUAAGUCAUAAAAUUGUAUAAACUUCAUUUGCAAGCUAAAAAAUACGAAUGUGGACUUUAUUGUCAUUGUUCAUGGUAAGCAAAAACACUAUUUUAUCACAGUACAGACAAACAAAGAGCAAACAGGCAAUCAACUGAAGAAACAAUAAACACAAUCAGUCAUUUAGUUCUUGAUGCAUAGAUGUUUUCUGAGUUUGUAACUGAAAGGUAAGUCGACUUUUGCUAUUACUAGAACAAACAUUUCCUAUUAUGAUAGAGUAUCUUCCUUGGCUUCUAGCUGUUCUGAAAAGAAAUAACAACAACAGUCAAGAUCAAGAUUUAAGUCUUCGAUGAAUGCAUUCACUUCAGCCACAUUUAAGGCUUUACUUAUAGAAUAAAACAAAUUCUGGUCAGAUAUAUCCAUAUGGCUUUCUCAUAUGAUGGUUCUAGUAUCCUACAUAUUUUAGAAAUCAAGCAUUCAGUUCGCAUGUCUAGGGUGGUACCUCAGCAUAAAACAUUCUGUAUAUUAAUAACUGAACAUAUAAUUGGAAUAUCUAACUCAACGAAAAAAUAAUGUGUUAAAAGUUUCUGUUCAUCAUCCAAUUUCUAACCUUUCAAUGAGUUUCUUCGACCAAGAAUAAAAGAUUGUCUAUGGUGGUUGCAAUUCCAUCAAAUUGAGCUCAAGAAACUGGUGCUGCUUCUUGCUUAACAGAAAUUGCAUUUGUAAGACCCAUCUGAUUCUACAAUUAUAUGAAUCUAAUACCCAAGCACUAUUAACUGACUGUAAAAUUCUAUAGCUUGAUUUCAAAUUCUUGCCAAUUCUUGUUCAAAAAUACUUAUAAGAAGAAGAGACAGAAGUAAGACAAUCUUUGAGAAUGUUCACUCAUUAUUCUUUUCAGAAAACCCAAUCUCUAGACAUUAUGUUGCAUGUUUGGGAACACAAAAUGGAGAGAUAGGUAGAUACCAGGCCAUGGCUGUGAGCUGUGGUAAACAACUUCACCCACUUCAAUACCAGUCUCUUCCCUAGUUUCUCUUCUUACUGCCUCUUCUAAGCUCUCUCCUGGCUAAGAAAAUUAAGCAGUUAGCAGUUACAGUCUAGAUAAUCUCAUUUCAACUUGCAUCACAAAUAGUUCAUAUCUCUCGGAGAGGACAUACGCAUGUCAUCAUUCUGACUUAAAUUAAGGUAUCAGUACCUCUAUAAAACCAGCAAGACAACUCCACAUGCGGGGCACAAACCUCGAUUGGUGGCUCAACAGUGCACGAUCAUUCUCCUUGUCAAUCACGAGCAUAAUGACCACCUACUUGAGAUUAUUAGCCAUGCGACAAGAGUGAGCACCAACAGAACAAUUCAACAGUGAUGGAAGUAGAGGGAUCAAACUAUACAGGAUCAACUCGCGGAUAAAUUCUCUUCUUGCAGGACCCAUUCGUGCAUUGCUUCCGCCUCCCUGCAUCGGUGGAAACUGUGCGAGCUCCACAGUGCCCACAAAAACGUGACACAUCGUGCCACUCUAGCAGUGAUCGUGCCUGGUCCAAGAUAAGAUGGGAGAAGUCCGGAACUUCUAGUUAUGAGCCACAUCAUCAUGACAACGAAAGAAUAACAACAGGAAACAAGAACAGCUAAAGAUGGUUGCUAAGAGAGCAAACGGAAAUUAUAUGAUGUCAAAUAUAAUGAAUAGUUUAAAUAUAUGUGGGGACAUGUUGCCACACUAUCAUCAUUAAGUGGGAAAAGAGGAAUGUUCUUCAUCAAGAACCGAGAUUACCAUAGUACUACUUACAUCAGGAACUCGGUAGCAUUUUUGUUCACAGCAUGAAACUAAGAGUAUGAAUCGAUUAAUUCCGAAGUAAAAGCGAUCAGCUUUGGCUGGUAUACUUCGUUCCGACGUUCUUCAAUAUGGCGACUUUUGUCCCUUAUUUGAUCAAUUCCCAUACAGAGACCAUAAAAGAUCAUAGCAGAAGAACAGCUUACAUGUCCGGCAAUGGCCAGCUCCCCCAUCGCAUCCGCAUCGGCCCAAUCGGUAGCAACCAUCAACGUCCUCAACUCCACGAAGCACAACCCAUUGCCGCCGCCUCCCAGCUCAACAUUGCCCGCGUCAGAGACGUCAACCGCCCAAUAAACGGUGCCGGCUUCCUCCACGGGGCCCGAACCCAAGUAGACGAAGGAUUCGGCCGCUAAGUCCCCAAACUUCGCGGCAGAAACCCACCCAAGAUUCCACCUUGGCGCCGAACCCGACGUGGAGUCGACGGAGCGGGCCAAAGGUCUGCCCUUUUUGAAAGGCAACACCCUGGCAACUUCCGAGGACCCAUCGGCCGAACCGGAGAGGAGGGAUUUGAGGGCGUCAAGGGCGGAACCGGGGGAGGACGAUCCCUCCGACUUGGGGUGGCUGGAUCUCAGCGGAUUUCCGGCGAAGGCGUGAGAUCGAAGAUUGAUGGACAUGGCAGCCCCGUAGCGACGAGAAGGAGGACGAUCGAAUCCUUCGUGAGGUGGAAUUAAGGUUCUUGAAGAAGGACUUCGCGGUCUCAGGUAUAAAGCGAGAUGAAUUCGCUUGAGGAGACGGGAAGCGACGAUCAUCUCGCGGUCGCCAUAGUUACGACGAUUGCGAGGGCGGGAGGUCGGUGGAAGUAGGGCAAGGAUCCCUGACGCAGUCAACUGCGAAAGCAUGUAUCCAUUAGAUCGUAGAUGCGAGUGAUCAUCUGAUCUGACGACUGAAAAGAAGAGACUUUUCACAUGAACCAGCGACAGAGGUGGAAAGCAAGCAGUGGAUUUUAAGGCUCCCACGUUGUUCCAUACAAGAGCGUCGCAGAUGGGUGGACGAUGCCGUCGCAUGUCGUCGCUUUCAUCACCACCUAAUCUCUACCGUCCACUGCUUUCUUUUAUUUUUAUUUUUCUAAAAACCCUGAAAGAAGCAUAAAUUUUGAGAUCCGCAAAUAGAUAUUUCAUAAUUAAUUUAAUAUUUAAUAUAUAAUAUAAAAAUAAAAUUUAAUUUUAAAUAAGUCGUAUGAUACCCUGUUAUCUAUAAAGGAUUAAUAUCUUUAUAUCUUCCUACAUCUUUAAUUACUUUGAAAGUUCGUAUUUGUGAGUUAGCUGAUUUUACAUAAUAUUUAUUUGAAUAAUCUCCUUUCAAGAUUUUAUUUUUUUUGACCCAAUUUUCAUAUUAUCACUUGGUAUCUUCAUCGUCAAUGUCGAGAUUGUACUCUCACGACAGGGUUGAGUUAUAUUCAACCAAGAAUCACUUAAUAAAAAUCCCGUAAAAUUAUAAUAAACCCUACCUAAUCGUCUCUAUUCUAUAACGAAGAAUGAUUAAGAUUUAUAUUUUGAUAUUUGGACUUCCUAAUCAUCGCCCUCUCCCCUCCCUUUUUACUGGCCGAUCAACUAGAAUUAGAACAAAAGGAAUAAUUCACUUAGGAAGUAGCCUUAGAACUAGAGUUUGGAAUCUUAUAUAAACAUAUAACCUUAUCUCUUUAAGAAUAAAAUCUAUCUAUAAUUACAGCACCGAUUUAUAGGAGGGUAGAACCCUAUAGUGUUCAAGGAUUGAUCCCUUCUAUGUCGCGAGUACUUUCCCGUCAAAGCCGAGGACGGAGUCCUCUUUCAGGCCGCACUCGAAGCAGCUGGAGGGCUGGCGAAGUUGUGUCAGGCGCAGGAGCAGUACCGGUCGCCAGGGCGGACGUCGGGGCCGCUGAAUCCGAAUGACGGCCCGCCGCGAAGGCCGCUGCAGUUUGAGGGGGGAGAAGUCACUGUGCCAAUGGACACCAACAUGAUAACGGAAGGUGAAGGACUCCAUUUCCCACCUUUGGAUGGAUAAGAAGGAAACGAUCACAUCCACUUCCAAUGAUCACCUACUAGCAAAACAGCCAUUGCUUUUCUAGAAUUCUCGCUUGAAGUGAAACCUCUCUGAGUCUUCUUUUAGUGGAUAGGUAUAAGGAGGGAGGAAUCAUCCAUGCAAUGUUUUUCGUGCACCAUUGCUGAAUGAAAGGAAGAAAACUGGUGGAUUGUCGAAUGAUGAAAGUGGUCUUCGAGGAUGGCUUUGACCGUCUUUUCGGCUUGUUUGAUGUGCUUGCGUUGAUUGCCAUUUCCCCAUCCUUGUUCAACUCCCCCACCCACUUCUCUUUUUCUGCUUUUGCUUUUGCUUUUGCUGCUCUCUGUUUUCCCAUGGUGUUAACAUUCCCUCCCUUCUCUCGCGUGCUGCAAAAGCGCAGUGGCGAACGGUGGAAAGAAAGACCAUCACCAAGCUCUCUGUCUCUCUCUCUCUCUCUCUCUCUAAUGUCUUUUGUCUUUGUUGUGCUACCCAGACUCAUUCUACAAACACUGGCACAUGAAAAGGUGAAUUGUCAUCACAGUGAAGAACAUGAAAGUUAGAGAAGGGAGGGCGAUGGCAAGCACCUGCUUCGUUCCGCUCUCUCUCCCUAGUCCUCUGCUGUUGCCUUGGAACAGUUAGUUUAUCCAUGCUCGAAGAGAGAUGAAGAGCACAAGAACUUCCACCAAGCACCAGAGUAGAGGAAGACGUCAAAGAACCGAGCACAGAUCUCAAAGUGAUCGAUUUGGAGGGAAGAUGGUGGGAUCGGCCCAUGAUUUGUGGCCCGUCAUUUGGAGGCUCGGCCCACAUUGUACAUGCCUCAAUAUUUCUUUCACUGACAUCUACCUAAAAAUCGAAUCCGAAUCCGAAUCCGAUAAAGAGUUAUUGGGUAAUUAAUACAUAUAAUCCCUCCCUAUAAAAUCUUUAUUAUAAUUGUAAAAAAAAUUAAAAAUAUUUUAGUAUUUCAAAUUAAAAAUAUUUGUUUGAUCAAUCCAAAUUAAAAUUCAAACAACUGAUCAUUUAGCAAGUGAAGAUCCCACAACAACACAGCUAUUAUGGUUAUAAUUACCAUCAUCAUCAUCAUCAUCAUACGGACUUCGAUUCAUUCAAUGAUGACAAUGGAAGUAGCUCAUCCUCAUCCAUAUGGUCGUGCUUGUGGCAUCAUGAAGCCAUGCACUUAUUCGAUGCCCUUCAUCAUUCACACCCCGACCACAUCGAGCGAGGCGAAGGGAGGGGAAGUGCAUGAUUGGGAAACAUGAGGUUCUUAAUGGCACAUUCAGUGCAAGAGAUGUCAUUCAUCAUUGCCAGGGAUUCUGUACAUGAUUUCCCUGGUGGGAAUUCAGCAGCAGCCAUUAACUGUAGCAGAAGAAGAAUCCCAUGCAUGUUUCCAGCCAUUACGUGAUGAUAAGUAAUUUUUCUGUGUAUUGAUCGAAUGAAGAAAGUAUACAAAACUCAUACGUGCCUUUUCAUGGCGAUGGUUUCGAUCAUUCACUGCCUCCUCCUGUCGCUGUAUUGAAUGCUGCAGGCGCUCCAACUCAAACGACGUCGGUGCACGAGAAUCUGUGGCGUGGCAGAGAAGGAUGGGGAAAUGGGACGUGAGACGCGCAUGCCUCUGCGAGUUCAUCACGCUCUCUCUCUCUCUCUCUGUGUUAUUAUUGCUCGUCUUCACCCAUCUGUUGCUGCUUAUCAGUUCAUCAUGAACUUCGAAACCACACUUAAAUGAUGCCUUUCUGUCACCACAUCAUUACUGUCCUUCUUACGAUCCACAGUCAUCGACUGCUCCGGUGGCUGUGCACUGUAAGCAUAUUACUAGUGUAUGGAGAAUGUGCACUUUAAAUCCAAACAGAUAUGACUUCCUUCUCGUGCAACUGAGGAUUGUUGAGUCUUCUUGUGUUCUUUCCUUAUCCUGUUCUUUCCUUAUCCUGUGCAUCUAAGGACUUGGAUUAAACUCUUAGUACCAAGAACAAGAUAUCAUGUCCUACAAAAGACAUCACAGCCGUAUCUUUCAUGUUUCCUUCUAAUAGUUAGGUUGAUAGAAUCACCAUCUUGUUUGAUUUUACAGAAGAGCUACACGAACUGUGGUGACCGACAUUGCAAAUCACCAAAUACCAUUUCUUUCCAAAAGAUUUGGGUCUACUUUGUCAUAGUCAAAGUAAAAAAGAUGAAACGCUUACCAAAACAGUCACGUUGAAAAGACAACAGAUAGUUUGCAGAGAGGAAGUGAGACCAAAACGAUAAGAGAAGACUCGAAAGAGUUCACAGAGAGGGGAGAGAAGUGAGACCAGAACAAUAACAAGGUUCUUCAGCUCCCCUGAUUGCUGUGGAAUACAAGGAAGUCAUGGCCACGAUCUUCACACUGAGUCUUUCUUGUAGCUUGAUUCAGGAGCUAUCAGUUCUAAUAUGUACAUGAAGGGAACACUCAAAAGUAGUCAAUAUGCUGAGGGAUGUGGUAUGGCUCAUCCCUGACCUUCUUGCUUAGCAUUUGAGCUGCUACCGGACCUUUGCUCCGACUCCGAGCUCUCCUUGAGUCUCCGGGGACCUCAGGUGGCCUCACUGACCUGAUGAGAGCCCAAUUCACACCCUUGAAGAACACAUGCCUUUUGAUCUGGGCAGAUCCCUUCACGCUCCCGAUCCUCUUCUUGGGGUUCUUCACCAGGAGCUUGCUGAUGAGAUCUUGCGCUCUGAGCAACUCAUCGAGCUCCUUGCCUGUUGCUGCCGCCACGGGAAACGAAAGCGGCGCCUUGAUGAUGUUGACGAGGGUCCUCUCGUUGUCCUCGCCUUUGAACGGCGUCCUGCCGUGGAUCAUCUCGUAGAGGAACACCCCGAGCGCCCACCAGUCGACGGCGCUUCCGUGGCCGGCGCCGGAGAUCACCUCGGGCGCGAGGUACUCGUGCGUCCCGACGAACGACUUCGACCGCGCGGUGAUGGGCUCGGCGACGAGCUCCGGGUCGAGCUCUUCCUGAUCAUCCAAGUCAUCCUCCUCGGGCGUCUUCGGCUUCCUGUCGUGCUUGUUGGCGCCACGGCCGUAGAAGCAGGCCAGCACCGGCUGCAUGGGCGGCACGCAGGACGAGCCGGAGCCCUUCGCGUUCCUCGCCACGGGCUUGCCGCUGAGUCUUGGGGUCAUGAGCUUGGGGACGACGUCGCACUUGAGGGAGAGGUCAAAGUCGGAGAUCAUUAUGUGGCCGUCGUCCCUCACGAGCACGUUCUCCGGCUUCAGGUCUCUGUAGACCACGCCCAUCAUGUGGAGGUACUCCAACGCCAAGAGGAUCUCGGCGGCGUAAAACCUGCGUAAUAGCCAUGCGUACAUCUCGUCAGAACCUUGCAGUCAGACUACAACGAUUGGAGAUCGAGACAAAGGGGUUGGAGCGUUACUUGGCAGAGGAGAUUGUGAAGCGGCGGCCGGGCUGGCGCUGGCGGACGACGUGCAGGUCGCCGCCGGGGCAGAACUCCAUGAGGAGGCAUGAGUAGUGAGCGGCGUCGAAGUCGGCGUACAGGGUGGGGAGGAAGGGGUGGUCAAGCGUGCGGAGGAUCUCCUUCUCGGUCUCCGCACGCUGGAGCUUCUUGCGGAAAGCGAGCGCCUCCCGGUCGACCACCUUCAUGGCGUAGAGGCAGCCCGGGAAGCGGGGGUCGCGGAGCCGGCAAAGAUAGACGUUGCCGAGGUCGCCGCUCCCGAGGCGACGCACGAGGCGGAAGUGCUCAAGGCGGACGCUGCCGGAGGCGGCGCGGAGACGCUGGAUGGCCUCCCACUCGGCCUGAUUCGCCUUGUGGGGCUUCAACUGCUGCUGCUGGCCUCCGCCGCGGCAGGAGCGGGCGGAGAUGGAGCUGGAAGUGCCGAAGCUGAUGUCGCUAAUCCAGCUCCGGCGGGAUUCGAGGGCAGUGCUAAGGGAAGAGCAGCUGCUGUCGUGGUCGGAGUCGUCUCGGCCUGCGGUGGCUGCCAUGGGCUGGCUCGUUCGACUUUUGGCGUGCAGGAAGCGGGCUUCUAGCUCAUCAAGGUCUCCCCUUACACACACAUAAUAUCACCGAGUAUAUUUAUACUAAGAACAGUUAUAGCGGGAAGCAUUCCGAUUUUUAGACUUAAACAAUUUUAUAUUAAAAUUUUAUAAUUAUAAAAAUAAAAUAUUUAACUCUAUUUAUUAUAAUAUCAUCAAUUUAACCAACGAAAUAUAUCACACAUAUAAAAAUAAUAAAUAAAAAUAUAAUUUUAAUAUCUCAAUUGCAUAUUCAGUGGUGACGGACAACGAUAUCGUCAGAGGCCGUGGGUGACUGUUAUGGAUAAAAAGAGAAAGCAAUGAUGAGAGAUGAGGCAAAAAGGAGAGAAGAAAGAUGACAACGAAGAUAUCAAUGUGUGUAUUUACGUCGGCGCCGACAGACGUUGUCGAACAACCGUGUCGGUGUCGAUACAGAUGUAGAUGUAAAGCGAUAUUAUUUUGCAUCUGCGUCAACACUAACAACAUUAUGGGGAAGGACGACAUCACUUUAUAUCUACAUCAGUGUUACUCUGCUCGACAUUGACACAGAUGUAGAGCAGUAAAAGGGCCACUCGACAUAUGCAUCAGUGCCAACGCAGAUGCAAAUGCAGAGCGUUGCUGACAACGAUGCGAGGAAGAGCAAUGUCCCUCUACACCUACAUCAAUGUCGCUCUGUAUUUAAGUUGACGCCAACAACAAUGCGAGGAAGGGCAGUGCCCAUCCUUCUUACCCCCUUCCUCGAUCCCUCAUUCUUCUUCCCCCUUUCGACGCUUAACAAGCGCAAGAGGGAAGAAUGAUAAGCGAUACAAAGGGGAAGAAGGAUGAUCGAUGCUCAACAUAAUUGCAUCAUCACUCAUCCUUCUUCCCCCCUUGCGCAUGCCAAGCGACAAAAAAGCGAAGAAGGAUUUCUCGUAUCGUUAUCGACAUCAACGUAAAUGCAAAGUGACACUGAUGCAUAUGCUGAGCAUCGACAUCUACAUUGUCCACUUCCUUCUUCUUCCCUCUGUUGCUCGCCCUCCUCAUCCUCCUUCCCCUACAAGAAGCCACAAAAAUCCCCAACAUUCUCAUUGAUUACAACCACAAUAGCCAUUGGUAGCUCCCAACAACGUCGUCAUCCAUCAUCACCGAAAAUAUAAUUAGAACGUUAAAAUUAUAUUUUUAUCAUUCUAAUAUCAUUUAGGAUAAAUAAAAUUAAAUAUUUUAUUUUUAUAACUAUAAGGAUUUCAACAUAAAUAUAACGAAUAUAUUUAUAAUAAGAACAAGUUAUGCCAUACUGCAGAGAGGUUGAGCACCACAUAAUUAGGUUCUAAAGUUGAAAGGACCACGAUACCUAAUUAAAUACGAUUGAUUUUUAAUAUAAAAAAAAACAUUAUAGAUAUUCUUCCUGCAUCCAUCCCACCGUAGGAAGACACUCCAGACACAGUAUGACAACCCAUAAAUAAAAUAGCAACCAAUGAUAGAGAGAAUAAUUUAGUGUCAACUAAGCCUUAUAUUUUUGCCAUUCAUUGAGGUGUAGGAUUGAAUUGUAAUCAUGGGCGGCAAAAGAUCAAACAAGUGGAGAGUUGUUUAUGUUCCUCUUCACUUUCCAUUUGCACCAGAAUGAUCAUGCCCGGUGUUUCUGUUGUGCACAAGAAACAAUCACCGAACAUGAAGUCUCACACUCAACUCAGAUAUUCAUGAAAGGAUCGACACCGGAGAUGCAUUGUAAAAGUUCAAAUCUCAGAAGGCAUAUUUCACCAUGUAUUUUUCCAAGCCAAUAAAGAAUAUUAAGUUAUCAGCAUCAACCAGUAUCCUAAAAAUGUUUAGGUUACAAAGUAAAUUUCACCAUGGAUUUUUACCAUUCACUUAUAUCUAGCUUGCAACUAAGAAGCUGACAAUAAAACAUGCUGCCAUCUGAGUGCAUUUCCUUAGAGAUUUACAAGUCAAGAAGACGAUGAAAAUAAGCUUGCACUAUAUGAUUUGAAAACGAGUAGCCGUCUGUAAGCAAAUUCGAGUACUUACAACACAUAAAACACUUCAAACAAGAAGAACAGGGCGUGACAUACCUCCCAUAACAUCAAAAUAUCUCAAGUCUUUAAAAUUAAUGUUGUCACGGUAUAAAGCAGCCACCGACUUCACCAAAAGCUGGCAACAUCAGUAGGAAUGGAUCCUAAAGGCCAACAGAGUCUAAAAAGUUGUUACAUUGGUAGCCCUAAGAAGUUGGUUUUAGCAAACACAAAUAGACCACUAUAAUAUGUUCAAAACAGACAAACCUUCAUCAAUCUGACACUCUUAUCAAGAAAGAAUGAGGUCUCUAAUGUGGCCAGUAUAUUAUUUGACAAUGCACUAAAACCCCAAGAGUCCAUUGAUAAUUGAUGGUAGCCAAAAAGAAAAAUACAAGCAAAAACAUAAGCCACACUUGGGCAAGAAAAUUGAAGAUACCAAAAAGUUGUCUGAAGCUACACAACAGAGAGACUUCCCCCCUCACCAAUUUUUAUUUCUUGCAUGAUUCAGCUCCACGUUCAGUGAUCAUCUUCAUCACCAUGUCCAUCUGGGGGCCCUCCCUCACCAAUCACUUCCAGCUGCAGAAACAGAGUUUAGUUUGAGUUGUUCUACUUUCAAACCAACAAGUAUCUAUUGAAAAAUGUAUUACACGCAUCUCAUUUUCUUUCAUAGCAUUGUGAAGUGUAGAAAGUCAUCUCAAUUACCACAAAGUAUUGUGAGCACACAGGGCAUUCAUGAGGCUUGCCUUUCUCCAACCAAAACCAGACAACAUCAUGUUCAUCCUCUGCAAAAAACAAAAAAUAUAUAUAUGUUAAUUUCCAGGCACCAGACUCGAGGUAUUCCAUGAAGGCCUGAUGAAAACAACUGUUUUAUGUUAUUUUGUUACCAUCAAAAAGAAAAUUAAGUAUAAGAUGGCAGAAAACCUGCAAAAGUGAAAACUGAGAACCUAAUAGCAUCUUAUUUCUGUCAACUUACCACCUUCACCACCAGGACAGCCAACUAUCCUCUUGUCAUAAUAAGAUUGGAUGACAGCAGGUGCUUCCUACAAGUAGACCAAAGAUGGGACAAUUUAUGAUAUGACAGCACAAUGAAACAUUUCUUAAAUAAAAAAAGUCAAUCACCAACACCUAUGCUCAUUAUCCAGCUGAAUAUAUAUAUAUAUAUAUAUAUAUAUAUAUAUAUAUGUGUGUGUGUGUGUGUGUGUGUGUGUGUGUGAAAGCAGCCACGUUCAUCAAGAACAGUAAGCCAAAAAGUCAUUGUCCAAGCAGUACAAGGAAACCACAUCGCAAUAUUGACUUUUAUUAAUAUAACUCCUAGCAGAAGUUUGCCAAGGCAUAGGAAUCAAGCCAUGAUGGACAACAAGAUAAAAAUUGUAUAGAUCAAUGCAAUAAUAGAUUACUAAUUGAAUAAGGAAAUUAAGAUGUGGAAGAACCUAGAUAUAGGAUCCCUAUCACAGUAAUACUAUACUGCAUUUAAGCAUGGAAGCAAAUAAGGAUAUGGAUUAUUUAACACUUAAAACAUGUGAUAUACAUAUUGUUCAAUUAUGGUUUUUACACUUGACUGACAUGACAAACAUCCAUCAGUAUCUCAUUAGAGAAAAGCAACGGAAUAAAAAAGACCAAACAUAAGCAAGCCUGAUCGCUUGAUUAUUACACCAAGAGCAAAAAAUAAUUUGACAUCAAAUAUUAGUAAUGACAAAUGUCAUAAGAAGACAGAUAGAACCUAUAGGAGAUUCAAAGGCACUGAACACACUUCCCUGUUCCCAGGGAUUUUAUAUGCUCCAAAUUAACAUCACUACAGUUCAAUUAAGGUUGUUUUUCAAUGCAAAAAAAUACUUUUAACAUCAAAUUUUCCUGUGGUGAUGGACAAAAUUGACAUGAAUUUACCAUGGAAUCUAUAUAUACUUGUUUUGGGGCAAGCUCAUUCUUAAAGGAGGUGACUGCGAUAGAAGACUGGUGAGAUUUUAUCUCUAGGUUUUUUUUUAUCAGGGAGGUGUUUAUUGCCAAACGAUGACAACUCUUAUUGAUGGAUCCUUCUUUAAAAAAAAAAUAGAACAAAGCUCAUAUAUGCAUUUGAGAUCUUUUUAAAUCUUCACCAUAUCUCAAGCCUAAUUGUGUUAAGAGCGUCAGUGGUUGCAAGGAAGUGGACCACAAAAAGUAAAGUUCUUACAGAAGUGACCAUUUCUGCUGUAGAACUAGUAAGAUGAGUCCCAAAGAGAGAGCCAAUUCUGACUUGCAAAGGAGGCUGACAAAGUCAACUUCUGAGUUGACGAUGAGGAGGAGAGGGCUGGUAGGCAGCAUGUGGCUUGCAACAGUGGGUAUCAUCAAGCUUUGAGAGGCACAUGUGGGGGAUCACCAGAGAGGCAGCUUUUAGGAUUAAAAAUAACAAAAAAAAGUAAACAAGGGCUUGCCUAAAUUUACAAGGUAGUUGCUAAUUUUUUAUAAUAUCAACAUAUUAUUACCAUUUAUCAAUUUACUGUCAUGCCUAGAUACACAUCAUGAUUUCUACCUGGAUACUCAAUGAAAAACACUUCCCUCUUUUAGUUUCAACUAAUCCAAUCAUUCUAGCAUUGCCCCAAAGUAUUGACAUCUCAAGAAUUCAUUUUUCACUUCAAUGAGAAAAGAAUAUUAUGUAUUUACAAGCACUAGUUUCUACAGCUCCAUCAAAUCUGGUCAUCAUAAUGCAAGGAUGGAAACCAUGAUUAAGUUUCUGCAAAUCAUUUACAUAAAUCUAAUAUUCUGCGCAGCUAAACAGCAGUUAACCAGUAAUAUUUUUGUAAACCAGUGACAAACUUGUAUAUUAAUAAAAUAUGUAUUAUACCUAUAAAGAGUUAUCCAUGAGAACAUAGACUUCCAUCAGAAAGAACUCUAAAUACAUUUUUUGACAUAUAUAUAGAUGCUUAUUGUUUUAGAGCUAUGUCUCUACUAACAAAGGAAGAAAUAAUUAACUAGGGAUCCAAUUUUUAUACCUCAACACAGUUGCAUUUGUGCUCUAUAUGAAACAAUGUGAUUUGGCUUAAAAUUCACAUGAUACUUUCCAAGAUACAGCUUAAGCUUUUGCGUCAGAUUGUCAUUAAUGAAACCCAUGUAAAGAAGUCGAAUCAAAUUAAUCCUGGUUUCUGAGAUCAAUUAGAUGUAAAAAUAAGUUAGACAGGUGACUGUAAAUUUAAGGCUCCCGAAGGGCCUCAAAACAGUCCAAAAGAACAAAAAGAAGUGUGAAAGAUGCAUAUCCAUAUAUAGUGGUCCUCUCGGUCACACAUCCGAAUCUAUUUUGGUAACACGAGGAAUAUAUCCACAACCAUAUUAAAGAGGAAGACAAACCAAAUACUGCGGCUAAGGUCUCAAGAAUUAGAACCCCUAUGAGAAAAGAGAAGGAACAAGAACCCCUACCUUGGUGCCGAAGGGGCCUACGGGGGCAUCCAUAUCGAACCGCUUCUUUCCCUAAAUACCGGAAUAAGGAAACAUCAAAAUACGGUCAGUUUCCUGACAACUCAAAGCAUACGAUUUUGAGAUCGGAAAAGGAAAAAAAGAAACCUCCAGUUCGGCCUGGAUCUCCUCGCGCUCGAGCCCGGUGGCAAUCGGCAUCACGUCCUCCACCCUCUUCUUCAACGAUCCAUCACCUGAAGAAAGAAGGAGAGGAGGAAGAGAUCGACCAAAUCCGGAUCAGCUUCUACGAACUCCCGAUCCAAGAUCUCGGAAACAGACGAAGAGAACCCCUAAGGAGAAGAAAGGUCCUACCUGAAACGGAGGAGAAGAACACUGCCGGCUUCGGGGAGGGCGGGAAGGGGGAGAGGGCGCGGCCGCGAAGGGGGGCGGACGACGGAUGGGGUUUCGCGAGAGCGGAUCGCCGAGGGGCGACGCAAACCCUUCUCCACAUCGUCUCUCUCACUCUCUCUCCCUCCCUGUUCGGCCAGUGUGUUCUCAGGUCGACGGCCGCCCCUUGCCACACUCGUUUCCCUUUCGCUGUUAAUAAAAGAAUAAUAUACACCCUUGUCACGGCUGGUUGACACCGCAAAGGGGAAGUGGGUUUUGGGCUCAUAUCGUGUUGUUUACCUUUGGCCCAGUUGGCCUUGGUAGUAUCAAUUUUAGUGUUAUUCUAAAAAUAGUUGUAAUAAUGACGACAACAAUGAUACUAUUAAUGAUAAUGACAUCGUUAUAAUAGAAAAAUUAUAGCGAUUGCUGUUGUAAGAGGAGAAGAUUAUGGUCCUUUUUUCACCGACGGGGUUUUGGAGAGAGACUCGACGCCACGAGCAAUUAUCAAGAUUUAAGCAUUCCCAAACCUGAAAUCAACGCUGCAGCAAACUCACUACCCUCCACAAAUCCUUUUCUUGGUGGAUCCAAAGUACGUUCAAGAAUUAAUCACAUAGCAUUUGUCAUCUGCUUUCUCCACAGCCAAACGAGAAAAAAAGCUGGCAGUUAUUACACAACAUCCGGAAACCAUAGAAGCAGCCCUGAUAGGACUCGGCAGACACCAGAAAGAUAGCACUACCAUCAAAAUCAUGCCAUGUUCAACUAGCAUCCAAAUUAAACAUAUAAAUUCAAGAACAAUCGCUCCAAAGUCCAAAUUCCAAAAAUUAGAACAUAAGAGCACGUGUUUAUAUCGCAUAUGAUACUUUUAAAGUACAAUCCAGUUAUUCCCCGUACAGGCAUCCGGUGGUCUCUGAAGACAAUCUCUCUUGACGCUCAGCUGCUCACAGAUAAAGAGCCUUAAGAGUUAAUAUAAUAUUAUUUUCUAUCUCCCACCGGAAUCAGGGGAGCCGUCUCCAUACGAAACCAACCCUUUCUUUCCAUGAGAACUGGUGGAGGGAGACCUCGACUGCUCCUUGCUCGCACGUUUUGGAGAGGGAGUAUCCUGGGAAGAACGAGACCUGGAUUUGGACCUCGAACUAGAACCAGACCUGGAACUGGACCUCGACCUGGAUCUGGAUCUGGAUCCAGAUGGGCUUCUGCUUUUAGAAACUGACACACGCUUUUCAGGGCGAAUGCUAUCUCUUGCACCGCGUGACCUUGGUUUUUCUGAAGCUUGCGAAGGACUGCGAGCUGGGCUGAUGCUGUAGCCACCUCUUGCCCGGCCACGAUAGCCAACAGGGCUGCGAGAUAUGCUUCGAGUAGGGCUCCUCCGACUUCGGUACCUACAUACAUGAUUAAGGAAGGACACAAAUAAAACAACAAGGCAAUAGACGUUGAAGGUAGAGGUCAGCAUUGCAAAACCAAGACAUAUAUGAGAGAACAGAUCUAAUAAGUUUCUCCACAUUCACCUUUGAAAUUUUAAAUUUAUAAACACUACAAGUUUUUUAUGAUAUUCAGGCUAUAAAAGACCAAAACAAACUGAAUAAAACACUUAAAAAUAGUUGAAAAAACUCAGGGGGAAACCCAAGACAUUGGACCAGACCUCUCCAAGUUGAAAGAUUCAGUUUAGUUUAGUUCACAUCACUUUGCAGCAUAGUAAACAUUCCAGGAAGGAAAGAUUACCUUGGUGGGGUUCUUCCUCUUGGAGGGCUCCUAUAUCGUCUAGGAGGAGAGCGAUUGUGGUAGCUUCUAUAGCUUGAGUACCUAAAAAAGCAAUAAACAGGGUCAUACAUGACAAGGAAAUUCAUAACUAUAAAGAACAUCACGCAUUAGAGUACCAUUCACAAUCAUUCAACAUAAAGCCACACUACCUAUCACGAUCAUUUCUUCCACCAUAACGAUGCAAUCUAACAGGAGAACGAUCAGGGGAUGGAGUUCGGUAUCUUCUAGCAAAGGAGUAUUGCUGACUGAAGCCUCUACCCCUCCUUAUACGCUUAGGAGAUCCAUCCGGAGAAACACUUCUUGAUAAGCUCCUUCGACGAUUGGAUGGAGGUGAUGCGGCCCUGUGAACAGGACUCCCCUGGUUCCUGCUGAUGCUUGGUCGUGACCGAGCCUGUACAGGGCUAUGGCUUUUACUUCUGCUUCUAGACCUUUCAGGGCUUCGGCUUACACUUCUCCUAGCCUUCACUGGGCUUCUGCUAGGGCUUCUCUGCUGCAGAGACCUUCCUGAGCUUCGGCUAAUGCUCCUCCGUUUUUCAUUGACCGGACUUCUAUUCAAGCUUCUUCUAAUAGGAGUCUUGUCUUGGCUUCCACUAAGAUUUCUCUGCUGCAGGGACUUUGCUGGGCUUUUGCUUGCACUUCUGCUAUGAACUUUAACUGGACUUCUGCUCUUGCUCUUCCCAGUCAGGCCAACUGGAUUUUUGUUUAUGACUAUUCUUAUAGGACUUCUACUAAUAGUUCUUCUAAAUGGGCUCCUGCUGGUACUUCUCCGAGGUGGGCUUCUACUCAUGCUGCUCUUUCGGGAUACAUGGUCAGGGCUUCCAUCAAGAUCUCUUGUACCGGGGCUCCUGCUUGCUGACCUUCUGGGACUUUGGCUGCCAUUAGGACUCCUCCUUGGACUGAUACUCAUACUCUUACUCAUGGACUGGUUCGGGCUCAUGCUUUGGCUCCUGUUUACGAAUGUCGAAUGAAGUCUAAGUUCACCACGAAGGGGGAAGAAGAAAGGUUGAUUCAUGUGCAAGGAAAAACAAAAGACCUUGAUUUAUGGCCUUCUGAACCUGGUAGCUGAUCCAUAUCCCUGCCAGACGUUGGUUCGGUAAUGCCAUUGCUCUGGAGCUCUCCAUUUUCUCUUUGGGACUUGGCCUCUUCACCAACAGGCUUCUCAGGUAUAGUUCCCUCAUCAGGUAAAUCGGUAAUGAUUUCUCUCUCCACAGGCAGCAGUGACUGUUUUUCAUCUGAAAAAAUAAUAAUACGGUUAGCAGAGAAGAAUCUCAUUAUGUAAUAAAGAAAGUUCAAACUAUAUCAAAGUAGUGACUCAGAAUUAUUUCUAGGAACUGGGAGAAAGGUAACAUCUUCCAAGGCAGAAAGUCCCUAGAAUAAAAAAUAUUAACGUUGUGAUGCAUUACAUUCUCAAGUUAUUUUCUUCAUUAUUAAUGGCAUUAGCAAUAUUUUAAAAAUAGAUUAAUUAGAAGCACUGCCAAAAUUCUGAAGAAGAAAUUAGACAUACCAGAAACAUGAGAUGAGACCUUAGACUUUCGUACUCGUCGUUUGUGAUAUCCAUCAUCAUGAGAACUGCUACCAUCGGUACUCUCUGUUUCAGAUUCACUCUCCAUUAUCCUUGUAGCAGAGUAUAAAAGUAUUUAUUCAUUUGAUGAAUUAAGAGACAAACAAAAAUUUUGAAAUGCACUUUGAAAAGUCAGCCCAAAUGUGCAUGAAACAUAUAUCAACUUGUGGAACGGGUUAGAUAAAAACCUUCUGAGUUUGUGCCUUAAUUUCCUUUCACGCUUUCUGCGCCUUUUCUCCUGCCCUCUAUCCCUUUUCCUUUUGCCACGCUUGUACUUGUCUCGCUUAGAAUACUUCCUCCUCUUGUGUCGCCGGUCAUCACUUGAGCUGCUUACAUCAGACAUAGAUGAUGUGUCAGAGUCAGAAUCACUGUCAGUAUCUGAAGUUUCUGUUUCUGCAUCUGACGAGCUAUCCGAUUCUGAUGAAUAAUAUCUUUUUCUUUUCCACUUCCUUCUUCCUUUAGAAGACUUUUUAUGUCGUCCCCGCCGUCGACUAUCAUCAGAAGCAUCCUUAACUUGCUUUGAUUUGGAAUCUUUCUUCUUGUCUGAAUAUAUGAAAACCACAUUGUCAGUUGGACAACUAAAUAAAAAAAGGUAUAUACAGCAACCUGAUUAGCAGCCAGAAGGCAGAAAAGGGUGAACUUUUUAAUCUCAAAGUAAGUAGAAGCCUAUUAGAAAAACAAAUUUAUUUUCCUUAUGACACGUAGUACCAUUUUCAUGUACCACUGCUACAUUUUCGCAAAGCUCUCCACAGUUAACAAUCUUCACUAGAGCAACAGGUCUGUCACCAUCCACAUCAACAUUCUCUAUGUUCUUCAAGGUUUCAUGUCCUAGAAUGAGCUUCCCAAAAAUAACAUGCUUCCUGACAGAAGGGACAAUGACCUACAUAUUAGAACUGAAUCACAUGCUAUGACAUGAGCUGGCAAAUACUGCCAGCAUAACAAAAUGGGAUAGCAUAUGUUGAGAGGAACAUGUGCCUAGAAUAAUAUCUAAAUAAACAAUGCAGUUUGCUAUACAUAUACAAGCAAAUCAAAUGCAUGCAGAAGAGGAAACAAUUGUGAACAACCAGUGAUCUGUUUAACAUCUGUUGGUGAUUCACUUUGUUAUGUUCCAUGAAUCACAAGCUCAGUUGAAUUACAAGAUGCAAAUGUCCAUAUGCAUUUCCACAAAUACACAGUAUGAAGCAAAUUUUAUAACAAGAGCACCAUGCCGCUUGGGACAUCAGAGUCUGAUGCAUGAGAAUUGCAAGAUCUGAAAAUUUCCUCAUCUGUAUGAUUGAAGUAUCAAAAACAGUCAAAUAAGAAACCUCAAUAGACAAACUUGGAACUAACCCGUUGAGAUGAGGAGCGGAGUUGAAAGUGAUGAAAAACUGAGAGCCAUUAGCAUCGCGGCCAGCAUUUGCCAUUGACAGAAGACCACGACCAUCAUGGUUUAGCACAAAAUUUUCAUCUGGAAUAAAUUACAUGCACAUAAUGUACAGAGCAAUAUGAUAGAUGGUUUGGAUAAAGGAAAAACACUAACACCAAUAUACAUGCACAUAGCCAGAUUUUUAAUCAAAAAAGAGGUAGGCACCAAAUAUUCGAUAAACCAGAUGACCACAUUACCACCUCAAUCAUAUUGACUAAAUUAAAUGUAUGUCAAAUUCUCAUCCUAAUAAUUAGAUAAUUAAGUGUAAAUACAAAGGUUCACCAUACCGUAGCGUACCGCUCGGUAUGGGUGGUACAUACCAGUUCGACAAGAGACCGAUAUGGACAGGAUAUUAAUAUACCUCCAUGUAUCAUGUGUCGAUAUGCUCGAUACGUACCAUACCGAUAGCUAAUCAGUACAUCGAACAGACCGGUAAGACGAACCUUGGUAAAUACUUCUCCAAGAUAUUGAUUCCCUUCAAAGACAAAAUUCUUUUAUUUUUUAAAUUAUUAAUUAAUUGAAUUUUAUUUUAUUCCUAGUUUAUCUGCACAUAUUGGACAAUAGAUUUUAAUUGCUAGUUAAUUUACCAAUUAAGAUAAAGUUCUAUAAAAGAAAAUACUAGGGAAUUACGUUGUGACCUUUAAUCACACAACACUAACAAGAUUUAUAAUGAAACAAAUAGUUUUUUUCCUAGGGCAGCAUAUGUAGGUUUCACACAAUUAUAAAGAAAUGUCUCUUCAUGAUACUGAAGCUUAUUUACCUAAGGCAUUUAUAGCAAUCCUACUUAAUUCUAAAUUUACCUGAAAAUUUCCCACCAUAUAUGCUUUCACCACCGGUCCCUGAAAAAGGGAGGAUUUAUCAAUGAGCAAGAAAUUAAAUGAAACAGCAAGUUAAAGAUACUAAAGAAACUUCCAGUUUUCAGUUAUAUAUCCAAUGUCAAGAGUAAAAUAAAGAAGCAUGCAUGAGAAAUAAGCAGGGGCAAACUGGCAGAGUAUAAGUUAGGAAUGUAGGUACAACUCACAAGAUUCUCAAUUGGCAUAUGUUCAAAAGGAAAUGCUGUACCAAGACUUUCUAUCUGUACAUUCUAAACUAAUAAUGAGUCAAACAUUUCACCAUUUGCUUGUAUUGUGAAACUACUAUGAUAUCGUGACCUUCAGCAUCAUAUGCUAAUACUAAAUAGGUAUGAUGAUGUCUUAACAUAGCAAUUGCCACCACAUGACAUAAUACUCCAUAGAUGAUCAAAUAAAAUUUCCAUGAUGUGCACAAGUUAGCAAGUUGGCAAGAAAAAGAACAAAGAUUAUUGCUAGUGUUUGUACAUAUGCAACAUGCAUUUCUACACGUGUGCAAAUCAAUAGAACAUCUGGAGCUUAUGUAAGGAAUUAAUACACACAUUGCCAGACUCUCAAACUUCAAAGACCUUUCAUAUAUCUGGUAAUUAAACAGAGGCAAGUGUAUAUGAGGUAAUCAACUUAGGCAAGUGUAUAUGCUGUAUAACAACAAUAUACUACACUUGCAAAAAAAAAUCACAAAAUAAUAUAGUAAAAACAGGAUAAUGGAGAUGUAGAAAGCAUACCAUCACGUCUUGAAAAGUCACCACCCUGCCAAAAUAACAAUUACAUCAAGCACCAUUUUAGCAUAUAACACAAAUCAGAAAAGGUUGGGCUCAACAGGCUAAGAUAUAAAAAAAAAUGUUUUUAGGACACAACAAAAUACAACCUUAUAAACUAUAUGACAAGAAAAGCAGUCGUGACCAUCUGCCCUGUAUCCUACAGCUUAAACAAGCACAAACGACAAAGGGCAAAAGCUAUCACAUCUAAUUUAAAAAACAAGAAAAGCAAGGCAUACAGUCUCACGAUAAUGGAGGACUGCAAUGUAAAUAAAGAACAUACCUGUGCCAUAAAGCCCUUAAUAAUUCGAUGAAAGACCGAACCCUUGUAAUGCAGGGGCUUCUUAGUUGUAGGUCCAAUUCCCAUUUCACCUGUAAAGCUGAACUCAUCAGCGGUCCAUAAUUAAUGGAGUUGGUUCAAGUUCAACCAUCUUUCGAAUUAAGAAAUAAUCAUUUUUAGCUAACAAUCACCAAUCAUGUAAUAACAAGAAGAAAUGACUCUCCCAUUAGAAAAAAACAUGGAAAGACCUUUUUCUACAAAUAAUCUAUGCAUAUGCCACCAAUGACAAGGUAAUUACAAGAAACAACUCUGUCUUAACCAGCCAAUGUGAAAGUAUAUGACUUCUUCCACCACUAACAACUACUAUGACAGCUGAUUAAUCAAGGGUCUCUUGACCAAAUAUAUUAUCACAUGGUGUGAAGGCAUACCCACCUCAGCACAAAAUAAUGUCAGUAGCUCCCUUCCCAACAGAGCGAAAAUAUCAAAUAGAUGAAAAAAAGGGACUGUUGAAAACAGUGGCAGAAAACUUUUCCCAUUUAAAUAUCCAUGGAUACACAGCCUCAAACUUCAAUAGAAGAACCUAAUAAAAAGUAUCAAUGCAGCUUAACUACCAUGGACAUGCAGAAAAAAGGACAGAAACAUUGACAUCAAAUAGAGCAUCAUGUUACUUUCUUGGUUCUGUUUUUGUAGUGUACACACACACAUAUACAGUCAUAAUUGAACAACACAUCAUGACUCCAAAAAGCAAGAAACUGUUAUCCAUCCAUGUUGACGAACCAGCAGGAAAAAAACUUUGAAAGAUUUGCUGGUGUUGCACAUCAUGGAAGUUGCAACAGUGAAAUUCAAAGGUGGCAUGUCAAAAAGGUUCAAUGCCAUACAGGUAUGGCUUAUCAAUAAUGGGCUCUAUAACCUUUGUGUCCUCCAUAAAUGAGAAACCCUUCCCCUUGAGUUUUGCUUCUGCAGAUUUCAAGUCAUCACUACAUAGGUCAUAUAAACAAAAUCAAGAUCCAGAUCCACCGAAGAUAAUAUAAUUGUUAUCAACCAGUAUGGAAUCAAUGAGAUAUUAUACUUCACAAAAGGAACAACAAUCAUAAAAAUAAAAAUAAAUAUUUUUUAUCAUAUUUUAAUAUUUUCUGACAUUGUUAUGUUCUUAUAGUUUAAAUUACAUAUUUUAUGUGUAUAUAUAUAACUCUAUAAAUGUAUACAUAUAUGUAAAUAACUAUAUUCAAAUUAGUUUAUUGUAAACCACCAUAGCUUUAUUCCUUAUCGAUGAGAUAGAAACUUGUGGCAUCCAUACAUUGGCAGGCAAUGGGAGCAUCCAUGGUUUAUUAUGCCUCACCAGCUUGGACGCUGGCGUAUCCAUUGUGGGGCCAGAUGUUGUAACUGGUAUCUUUGUUUAACAGGGAACAUACAUUGAUAUAUCAUAUUAUAUUAAUAAUAUACAUAAUGUAAGUUUAUUGUAUGAGAUAAUACAAAUCUUGACAGCCCAAUUAUGAGAGCUUCAUAUUCAAAGCCCAAGAGCAGCACCAGGCAGCCAAGCAGAGUGAGGUGCAAUUGGUAAGACGCUAUUGAACAGUUAAGCUAGGAGGAAUUGGCAGUUGAACAGAAUGCUUUCAUCCCUUUCUCCCUUCAUCCACUCCUCCCCUACUCCGUCAGUCCAUCUCCUCUGAUUCUUUCUCUUCUUCUUUCCUUCCUUAUCUUUUAUCUUUUUUUUUCUUACAGCCAUACCAUGAUGGAAAUAGAUUCAAAAGAUUAACCAGCCAGAAUUUGCUUUGUUGUCAGAAUCAGCUGAUUCUGAUAAGUUUUGGCAAGUCUUUUAUUGAGUCCACCUGAUUUGAUAAAUACAUUGAGAAAAAGAAUUUUUCAUAGAAAGAAAAGGUCUAAUCCAAUCAAGGAAGCUGAUACAAAUUAGGAUUGGUCAAAAAUAAAAAAAUGCUCAGUUUACAAGGGUCCUCAUCCAAAGUUAGCAAUAUAUCUUCCACAAAUUGGUCACACACAUUAGGAGCUCCACUUAGUUGACCAAAAUUUUGAUGCCCUGACAUCAAUACACAAGAGCAAAUCACAUAGAUAUCAUGCACACAAAACAAUGUAUAAUAUUAUAAUAUUAAAUUAUUCCCAAAAAAUUCAUAUAUUUUAAAUGCUUCGGGCUAACUGCCGAAACUGAAAUUUUAAACCAUCUAUUUAAUUCUGAGACAGCAAAUCUGAUCCAGCUAACACCCAUUUGUUAAAACUCCUGAAUUCUCCACCCACCCUAAUAUUGAUGAUCAAUUUUGAAAUUCUCAACUCCAAGAGCCCCAAUAGAAAUCUUUAAUUAGUAAAACCCAUGAGAACUUCUAUACAUCACAAUGUCAGGCAAUCCUUUUUAAAAAUAUCAUAUGGAUUCUCUACAACAACAAGCAAAGACUACUACAAAAAUAAUGCUCACUUCGACUUGCACUACAUACUAUAAUAUAGAAUAUUAAGUCCAGAUAAUUAGUGCCCCCCAACAGAACUGCAUGCAUGCUGCAAUUAGUCUGAUUUGUGAUGCCAAUAUAGAUGGCCUUAAACAAAUGUUAUAUGGUAAAAUAAUGCUUCUUGUGAAACCUAUCUAAUUUUUGGCAAUUCUGGUAUUCAAACUACAUCUUGUAAAUAUAUACCUAGUACUACCUGAAUUCUCAAAACAAUCAUUUAAAAGAGUACCUGGUGUCCUUGAACUCUUAAUACCAUUUUUUUUUUCCAUCAUUGGCCUCUGGAUGAUGGAUAAGAUGGAAAUUGGCUUCAGUGCAUUAGUCUGAUAAUUUUUGUAUACAGAAAGAAAAACAAAAAAAAACAAGAGAUGAUAUCUACUUCUUUCACUAUAAUGUCACCUUCCACACACAUUUGCAAAAUUAUAUUGAGAAAAAGUGACCUUUUGAUAUUAAGUUUGAGAUGCUGGCAAGCCACUCCAUUAGGUGGUUUUUGUAAUAGCAAGCAUGUAUUUCUUAUAAGAUAAAGGCCUUGUAGAUAACAAAAAAACAAUGUCUUCACGUCUCCUUCCUAAUGUGCACAAAUAAAACCCACAUUGAGGUACAAAUGUUCAUGAGUUCCGACAAAUCCGGAUCCAUCAUAGAUGCCAAGCAAAAGAUGCAUGCUAUUUCAUUAGUUAGUAUCUUUUAUGAAGGUAAUUAAGAAUUUCCUACAGAAUUUAUGUCAAGAUUUAACACACAACAAAAAACCUGCAUCUAAAGAUUCUUAUGUUGCCUACCACAGAUGCCAAAGCUCUACCAUUUUUUAGUAAACCCCAUUUUAAAGGAACAAGGUUUUUAAGAUAGUGAUCAAGUUCCAAGCAGUUGUACAGUUUAGGAUUAGGAUCUUUAAUUGAGCAGGAUCAGAUUGUGGGGACCAUAUUUUUUGAAUGAGCUGUAGACCAUGUGACAUUGACCAAAAUCAACCAGAAUGCACAAGGUAGACCAAAGUAGGCCUAGCGAGAAACUAGGCUAGAUCAUAAGUAAUUGACAGGUUAAAAACAUCACCAAAUAGGAACCUCAAUCAAGAAUUAGCCAUAUCAACUUAACAUCUGCUAAAUAUAUUGAUUUCCAGUAUAAGUGAUAAUCACAAAAAAAAAAAUCAAGGGUUUCGGAAUAAAAAAUGGGGUUUUGGCAAAUCCCAUAAGCUUAAACCACACAUCACAUCAUACGCAUUUCGCAGUGGUGCAUGCAUGUUAAAAGACCAUUGGUUUCACAUUUUUGAACUCUUAUCCACUUCAAGACAACUCAAGAUUUGCUAUGUGUAUGCCCGAAUGUUAUGUGUCAAAGUGUCAAGCGUAAAGAUAGUGACAUGAUUCGGAGAGGAAAUCAAAUCAUGAGAAGCAUGACACAUUGCACAACCAUACCAACAAGCCCAUAAGUACUUAGCAUCAAACAAAAGGAUCUCCAAUGUCAAGUGAGCUUUGAAAUGAGGAUGAAUAGGAACAAAACGGAGGAUGCAGUGAAGGAACAUAAAAAGUGAUGCAAUAGAAUAUCAAGCGUCAUAGGUAAGGUCCAAACGUCAACUAAACAAAACCCAAGUGCACCGAGGAUAGAAGAGCUUUCAAGAGCAAUAGCCUUUAUACAUGAAAGGUCCGUCACUAAAAUGACACCCAGAAUCCUUAUAAAGAAGGAACAAAAGAAUUACAUAGUGUCUUAUCUAAUCCAAAAACAAAGAAGAGCGAAUACAUGAGCAACCAUUACAAAAAGCAAGAUGGAUUAAGUUACAAGAUCUUAGAGGAUCUAGUUACCUGUGCAGAGUGCUCGAAAAUUUUCAGCAGUCUUGGGAACGAUAUCAGCAAAAAGCUGCAAAAAUGUAAUUUUUCAGCACUUUAACAAUAUAUGCCAAAAUGAUGAAAAAGGCAGAUGAGUUGUAUGAAGGAAUGUGAAGCUCAACAAAAUGUCAUGUAGUAACUGUAUAAUUAGAUCGAAUACCUCAAACACCAUCCGUCCUGCAGCUUUCCCAUCAAUUGCUACAUCAAGGAAGACAAUAGGAUUAUUCUUUUUUGCCAUUUUUUCCAGCUGGACUAUUCAAGGACCCAACAGAAGAGAAACUUCGCCUGCAUCAUUUCAGAAGGCAAAUUAGAAUUUCUUCUACUAACAUGUAAACAGAAAGAAAAUGAUUUAACCAAAAAAUCUAAACGGAAAGAAUUGAGAUAUAAUUAUAAGCUACAGGAACAGUACAACUUCUGGUCUAGCCUAGCAGAUAUCCAUAGUACAAAAGUCCGAUGCCACAGUAUCAAUGGAUCAUCAGAUAGAACAACGAUGACAAACGCUUCCACAGAGCCACAACAGGAUCUUAUCAACAUCGAUUUGUAGUCCAAUCAAAUAUAGAUGAGAGAAAAACAGGACGCGAAGCCAGGCAACAAAUCCACAAAUCAACUCCAAGAAAUGUAAAGGCCAAGAUGCAAAAGGAAAACAACCAAUUCAGACAGAUAGAGACGCAACAUAUAAUGCGCGAAUCUAAGACCUCCAACAAAAUCAUGAGGCGCCCUUGAAACCCUAAACCCUAUCUGAGCUGCAAAAAAAACCCUAGCGCGAAAACAAAGAGCAACGCAAUUUUAGAAAGAAAACCCACAGAGAAUCAAAAAAUCAGCAUGACAUGCAAACUAAAACAGAUACCCAUUCCAACCUAAAAGAAAAGGAUAAAGAACACGGCAACAAGACGGCGACCCACCAAAAGGGAAAGACUAAGACGCAAACGAGAAACGACUGGUACCAUAUUCAAACAAUAAGAAAGAGAUGAUACCGAUUUGACGACCUGAAAACCCAAAUUUCUUCCCUGUGGCGUGAAGCAGAGGGAAUCUGAGAGCAGCCGGUGCAGCACCGCCAAGGACUGAUGAGAGGCGACCGUAACCUAAAAGGCUUCGCGAGACGACAUCCGCUUUAUUUCUUCAGCAAAUUCCAGAUUACUAUAACACCCCGACUUUGAUGAUUUAUUUACAAAAAGGUCGCACCCGCCCGUGGUCUUGCUCACUCAGCUCACGUGCGCAUCAUAGUCCUUCCUGUCAUGGUAAGGAAGGGACCGCGCCUUAUUAUUUGGCUCGAAAUUGAUCUCGAUCGGAGCUUGAGUUGAGUCGGACUCAAUCGGAUUAGAUCGAACCUAAUCGAUCAUAUGUAAACACGUAAACAUUGCUUAUUUCUUAAACCAAGAGCAAAAUACCAUAAUACUCCUUUGUGGGGUGAUUUAUUCACUGGAGAGUCUCGCCUGCUUUAGUCACGUGCGGCACUUAUUUCGGUCAUGUUAGUUUCGAUGUUUGGAGGGGACUAUCGAAAUCUGUAUUAACAAUAAUAAAUUAAGUUUGACCCUUCUUAAGCAUAAAAAAUAUAUAUAUGGACAAUUUUAUUUGGUCCAUUUAUAUCGUUAUUGCAAAAUUGUGAUUCUCUUAAUUGAUCCGUAUGUAACUUCUUGAUAGAAAAAUAUAAGUUGCUUGAUCCUAUUAAGCAAAAACUAUAUCAGAUCCUAUUAAGAUAGUGUAUACCAUCGUCAAAUUUAAUAUAAUAAUUUAUAUUACAUAAUGACUUUUUGUUGUCUUGAUAUAAUAAUUUAUAAUAUAAUCUCUUUUGAUUUUCAAUAUAGUCCGUACAUUUUUCACUACAUGAUUUUACAUUUUUUAGUUAUUUGUUUACAUCAAAAUGCUUGAUAUGAAAGAAAAAAUAAUGUGAAAAAAAUGGUAAUAAUGAGCUAGAGAUGGAGCAGCAAAUAAAAAAAAUAAAAUUUGACUAUCACAUAUCAACCAUUUGUUUAGUUAAAUGGUCGAAUCGUCGAUCAUGCUUUAUCAUAUUUUAACUUAUGUUUUUGUCGUAUCAUUUUCUCUUAUCAAAUUCUUUCUCAUUUCAAUGUAGCUAAGUUAUAGAGCCAUCGACUCCUAAAGCAUGUCGAUAAUGAUCAUUCAUAUGAAUUAUUAGUUAUAGGUUACAGGGAUAUCCAGUCGGGUAACAACACAUAAUAGAUCCUAUGAGGCGUUUGUUUAGGCUACGAUGUCAGUAGAGCUUCUUAUAUCGAUCAAGAUUCUCUUUACUAGUGCAUUGAUUAUUUUAAGUGACACAACGAGAGUAUCAUCAUGGUCCAAAUAUAAUUGCUUGACUUCCUCUUUUUUAAACACGAUUGAGGGGUCUCCGCAAAACCUCUUAACAUAAAGUUCUUGUGCAUAGCUUUUAUGAGAGGAUGAAUUGCCACCUCCCAAUGCAAGCUUACAAACAAUUAUAUCCACUUGGUGCUCCAUGGGCUCACACGAUGGAGAUGUCUCAUGAACCAUAGCGAUUGAGAUGUCCUCUUUGAAUGAGCUCUUAUAUUUAUAGCUUUAAGUUGUGGCAAUCAUUUAUGUUAUGCGCAUGGUCUUAAUGGAAGUGAUAGAACUUUACAUAGUUCCAUCUGGUGGGAGGAAUUUGAAGAGGAUGGGGUGCGCGAAGUAAGUCUUUUUCAUAAUUUGCAUAAAUAUCUCAAUAUGGGAAGCGUUCAAAUGAGUGAACUCAUUGUAAGGGGGUGGGAGGUCGGCCACCAUGAGACAUGUCGUUGUGGGGUUACUCUGAGUUACUCAAUUACGAGUUUAUUUCCUCCUUAGUCUCCUUUAUGGGCUUAAUAAUUUUCUUCCUAGCAACUAUUGACUUUGCCACUAUAUGUCGAUUGGCUCUACCAUUAUAUGUUGAUUGGUCUCUUGCAGCAACUCAAGAAAAGUGACAGGAGGUCAUGUGAUGAUUGAAUAAAAAAAUCUCAAUGGCUGAAGGCCAUUAUUGUAUGCAUUGAUUAAGAUGGAUGAACUUUAAUCCUUAAAAUGCUUGAUGUAGCAAGCUAGGGACUACUUGUCCAUCUACCUUAUAGUUAAUAAAGAGAUGGUCGAUAUUUUCAAGAACUUAUAAUUGAUAAAGCUGAGUUCAAACUCUUUAGCCAAUUAUCUAAAAGAGGCAAUUGACUCAAUGGGGAGUUUAACAAACAAUUCCCUUGUCACCCCUUUAAGAGUUGUUGGAAAUAUACAGAGAGGGUUUGUGGUCUCGAAUAUCAUAUACGAGACAAAAGCAACUAUGUGCUUGGUGGGAUUGAAGCUCCCUUCAAAUAAUUUUAACGUAUUUGCCUUGAAUCCUUGCAAAAUUAGCUCCUCCACAAUGCUCUUGAUAAAAUAGGACCUUAGAUAGAGAUCGAUUUCAUGUGCACUCCACCUGAUUGUAACAUACACUAUACCAGGCUAGGCCAACGCAUAGCCCGUGGAUUAGUCAUGUGCAUUACACGACUACUUAUAUUGGGUUGGGUCGAGCUAACAUGCAGGUUGGAGCUUGACCUAUGAGUUAGGUUUGGGCUCCUAGUUGGGCCUAUGCUUAUUGUACGAGCCUAGUUUGUAGGCUAUGGCUUACGCAAUGGGGCUGGGCCUAGCUUGUUGGAUGAUAUAAAUCCAAAUCUUAACCAAUUCAUUUAAUUCUGAAUUAUCUCAUCAUGAACUUAUAAUCAAGCAUCUAAUCAUUAACAAUAUACUAUUAAAACAUAAUAAAUAGUAAUAGAAUAAAAUGAUAAAAAUUACAUAGAGAGAGAAAAUAAUAUUUUUAAUCAACUAUUAUAUAAAUCUAAUGAAAACCAUAUAUUAUAACUAGCAUCAAAGAUAAAAAUUUUAAAAACUACAUAUAGCAUGAAUACUUAUAAUAUUUUUUUAAUCCUAAAAAUAUAAUUUUAAUUAUAACAACAUUUAGAAACUGCAUAUAACAUGAAUAAUUGUAACACAUUUUAAUCCAAAAAUAAAAUCUUAGACAUUUAAAGAAAAUUAAAUAAUUUAAAAAUUACAUAUAACAUGAAUAAUUAUAACAUAUUUCGAUACAAAUGAAAAAUUAUAGACACUUAAAGAAAUAUUAAAAAAGGGUAAGAACCUGCCUUAUGAUGCUCAUUUUUUGUUAUUAUUGCUGCUAAAAUUGGUUUUAUGAUAAAAGAUUGAGAUGGAUCUCUCCCUUAAAUAGGAGCACGUGAGACCUCAAUAUAACUUUUUUAAAAAAAAUAGUUUUUAAUAGUUUUUAUUUUAUUUACUAACAAAAAUAACAUCACUACUAUGUUGAAUAAUUAUUUUUAAAAUUUUAUUAGCAAGAAAUGAAAAAUAUACCUAAAAUAGGGAUUUGAUUAUAUUUUUCCAUGUGAUAUUCGAAGAUCCACUUAUUUAAGAAUAAUAACCUUCAUAAGUGAAAUUUAAAGAAUUGGUGAUAAGUUAUAACACUAUUAUUAUUAUUAACAUAUAGAAACCAUCGACUCGUGAGUCGGCUUGGUUAGUUCAUUGUCGAAUAUGUAGGUCCUUUCUGAUGACUCCUCUUUGCUGAUGCAGAGAGCUGGCAUGGUGAGUUGGUGUGGAGAGCUAGAUUAUCUUUGUUGUUGGGCCGCCUCUUAGUUGUGUCUCUAGAUGGUUCCGGGGGUCCUGCAUAAUAGGUCUGCAUUGGGGGCGUCUCAGUUAGACUCCUCUAAUGCUUAAGUUAGAGAGACGGAAAGAGAGGUUAAGAAUGUAAGUGAGAGAGUAAAGUACUCUUGUCCGCUUACCCCAGCGUAGUCCACGUAAGUGUUGCUUAUGUGGUGAGGGGUGCUGGGGAGUGCUAGGAUUAUCCCUAUAAUUCAUCCCUCCGGAAAGGCGUUCUUUGGAGUUUCGAAUGAAGAUCUCAAAAGACGUUACUUUUUCUACAUUCUUGCAUGGUGAUGUCAUCAUUAUAUAGCUUUGGGUUCGUUGCUCGCACCGUGGUGGUUGGUGCGAGGCUCGUUUGGGGUGGGUUGUGCUUUCUUGUUGAGGCAAUCUUUGCUUAGACAAGUGUUGACCUAAGAGACCUCUCUCUUUUUUUCUCUCUUUAUCUUCAUUCUCUCCCUUCCGCACGAGAUGUCAUUCUCUCACAUUUUUUGAGUUCCCCCUUUCUGCAUCAUGAGGUUUCCUUCUUCAGUUUUGAUCUCUCCAUUUUGCACAAGAGGUUGGGUCAUCUUUUGGGCCUACCCCUUCUUCCACUUAUGGGGAUAGGUACUCGACCACUUAGGCGGGAGUGUAGGCCCACAAUAGCAGGUGUUCGCUCGACCACAUGAGUGGGAGGAUCAGUAUCAGACCACUAUAGCGGCUUUCGCUAUAAUGGGUCUUGAUUCGAUUAUCGUAGGCAGGAGUAUCGAUAUCAAUCUAUCAUAGUGGGUCUUAAUUCGAUCGAUGUGGGCAAGAGUAUUGGUAAUAGUCUACUGUAGUGGGUCUUGAUUCGACCAUCGUGAGCAAGAGUAUCGGUAUCAGUUCGCUAUAGCGAGUCUUGAUUCGAUCAUCGUGGCUAAGACUAUCGGUAUCAGUCCUUCGUAGCGGCUUCCACCAUAGUGAGUUUUGAUUCAACCAUCAUGAGCGGGAGGAUAGGCCCACUAUGGUGGGUUUUGGCUCGACCGCGUAAGCAGGAAGAUGGACCCACUAUGGUGCCUGGCUAGUGCCUGUGGUUGAUACUAUAACAGGUGGUGUUAUUGCUAUCGGGGUGCUUUGCCCAUUGUGCACGUCGGGUUAUGACACACCUUCUCGUCCUUAGGAUUUGUAUCGCCUAUGAUUUUUAAUUAUGGAGAGGAUCUUCUGCUGCUCUAAGGCUUGAUCUACUUAGGGAGCCACACCCCUUUUUGAGGCUCUACUGUCAUGCAAUGAUUGGAGGUUCGAUAUUCAUGGCGGGCAUUUCUUGUGCUAGAUUUCACAUUGUCCCUAGAUGAAUUUGUAUGAGCGUUGCCUUGUGGAAGAUGAGCUACUUUUGACGUCCGCUAAGCUUAUUCUGAGGUAUUUAUAUGGCAGGAUUUCGUCUUGGUAUCAUCAGCUUUCAGAGCUUUGUUUUGUCGCUAUCCGUCAAGACUCUCCACACCUUCUUUGUUGGUUGAUAUAGAUCCUUAUAGUCUGUAGGAGGGUGUCCCUCCAUUCUUGGAAGUGUUGAGCUCGUGAUAGGUGGUUCUAAGAACCCUGGUGAGGGUUGAUCCAAAGCCAUAUGUGGAAUCUUUCACCAGACCAACCUUGCUACCAGGGAUCGACUCUUUCGUAGGUGGGGAUAUUCCAUCGUGCGUCCAUCAAAGGCCCAAGCAUGCUAUGAAAAGUGUUCCGAGACUGGGGGGCCCUUCUUUGUUAGAGGAGGGCAUGGAGAGUUAUACCUUCCCGGUGGAGGUAGGGUAGGAACUCCUAACACAUCGUGGCUCGUUGUGAUGAUUGGGAUCCGGGCCCUUCUACCAACUGUGUUUCUACCCCCUUGGGGAUUACAUGGCCUUUAAGAUGACCAACCGUCCUCCAACGACCCCCGGGGCUCCCCUCCAAGCUAAGUGGGAGGGGUUGACACAAGACGCGAGGCUAUGGAAAGGCAGCGCAACCGUAAGCAAGUAUUACUGCGGGUUGCUUAUCUCAAUUUUGGGCAAGCUAAUAUACCAGGCCUCCACAAAGUCUCUGGUCGAUCAGUGCUACUACAACGAGGUCUUAGCAAGGGCCCAGGUUUCCUAGUCCUAUUGUCUUCUCGAAAUUGAUUUUGUUUUUCUAGGCAGCACCAUUACUACGUCAUAGGCCUAGUCGAUUGUGCGCACAAUGCGAGGAUGUUGAUGAGCCAGUUAUCCCAUGCGAACGCAAGCCUCGUGGUGAGGGUGGUAGAGUUGGAGAGGGGCCCUGCGACUAUUGAGGCCUAAGCCAUGAAGAUAAUCGUCAUGUUGGAACAAGCCCAACAACAAUUGGAAGAGUCCAAGUGGUGCCUAAUGAAGGCUGAGCGAUGCUUGGGAGGCCCGUGUUGUCGCCUGGAGGAGGCCCUAGAGCGGGGUCGCCAAUUGGAGGGCUAGUGCAAAUUAGCUCUAAUGAGUUGAUGGCCUUCAGAAUGGGGGCUCAUGAGGCGAUCACCACAUACAAGGAGUCGAAGGGAUUCCGUCGGGGGCUACGAAGGGCGAAGAGGGACUCCUACUAUUAUAGGUACCAUGUAGUCCUUCGGCACUUCCAGACUUGGUAUCCUGUGUUGGCCAUGGAGGAGGACCACUUUGCGCAGCGGGUUGAGGAUAUGGAAGGGUCUUGGGGGUGGAUCUCCUUUGACGAUGGCUCCAGCUUUGGCUUUUCUUCCUCCUCCAGUUGAUACUUUUGUUUUCUUUUUUAUAUGGAAUCUUUGGCCCAGAUUGCAGGCUUAUUUUUGUGCAGUAAUGAAAUUUAUUAGCCUUUUCCUUUUUGGCUUUAUGUGUAUAUUCUUUUGUCCUAGUGAUGUUUUGGGGGAGUAGCCCUGUUCUCUCCCACUGAUCGUCUGUUCGGAAAUGUCUUCUCCUGGGCGACUCCGAGGUUAGGACCCGAGGUUUAUGGUGCGCCCUCCUGCUAGCCUAUUCCCCGUGUAUUGAGACCAUGACUUUGGCUGAUGUGUACUGAUUAGCCCUUUGGAGGAUCUCUGAGAUGAUCCCUCAUACAGGGGCUCGUCUUCCCUUUGUCUCUACCCAAGCAAGACAACAACCAAGGGCUUUGGUCACAUGUUGGUGAGGAAAUGAGGCUCUAACUCUUUGACAAGCUAUAUAAAAAAGAAAAAUUAAAAUGAGCUUAAGGCGACUAUACCAUUCCUGGCUGACCCCCUCAAUGUCGUUGGGAACGCUCGACACAUUAGAGUCUCUAAAGUGCCAAACAGAGACAUCUAGGCCCGGAACGUGGUGGUGUGCUCUGCGGGGUUAGAGCUGCCAUUAAAGGUUUCUAGAUUGAGGAGGCGAAAGUUGGCUGGGUUGGGCUCCUCUUGGAUGCUUUAAAUAAAGGGGAAAAUGUGGGGUGUAUCAGGUUCACCGUGGGAAUGCUAGAACUCCCACCGAACCUCGUGUAGUCAUUGAUUCAUGGCUUGGAGUUGCGCCUUCAUCGAGUCUUCCCAAGAGACAAUCGAUUGGGCCUCGAAUUUCGGUAGGAUUUGAGUGCGGCUCGAUAGAACACCCUUGAUCGAGGAUAUCCUUGGGGGGUCGAGCGAGGACUUAUCAGAUGAGCUUCGAGGAGAGUAUGCAUGAUUAGUGGCUGAAGGGUGAGCCGUUGCAUUGGGGUUGUCAGUUGUGCCAAUUGGGGGAUGAGUGAGGCGAUGGCUUGCAUCAUGCCGGCGAGGGCCUUGACCUGUUAAGUGAGGCAUAGGAAUGCCUUUGAUGGGACAAGCAAGAAGCCUAUACUCAGCCUUGGGGGAAAGUCCUAGGUCAUUAAGCAAGCGCCAAUAGUGACCCGAUGUCUGGGUUGAGGUAGAGAUGUCGUUCCAUUGGAAGGGAGGUGUGUGCCUUCUUUGCUCGAAGGGGCUAGGCGCUAUGAGUAGUGCCCCCUCUUUGGAGCGCUUGUUGGAAGGAUUGGUAGAAGGAUAUUCCUGUGACAUUCGACCCUCCUUUUAGUGUCAAAAUAUUAAUACAUAAAGACAAUCGACUUGUGAAUCAACCUGAUUGAUUCACUACAAAAGAUACAGGUCCUUUUUGAUAACUCCUCCUUUUUAAUGCAGAGAGUUGGUGUGGCGAGUUAGUGUGGAGAGCUGGGUCAUCUUUACUACUGGGCCUCCUCCUAGCUGUGUCUUCGAAUGGCACUAGGGGCAUCCCGACUCAAUCCCUCCGAUGCUUAAGUCAGAGAGAUAGAGAGGAAAUUUAACAAUAUAAGUGAAAGAGUAAAGAGCUCUUGCCCACUUGCCCCAACUUGGUUCAGGGCUUGGUUUUCAUACCUGGGCGUUGAGCGGCCUAGACGUGUGUACGCCAAGGCCCCCCUUACCCUGUACGAUAAAGACAUUAAUGAGGGCAACUUGCAGGCGUGUGGCUCUAGUGCUUGGGGCAAAUCAUUGGGGGGGACGUUUCUGGGCUGACUUCCUUACCGCUUUGGGUUAGACAGGGAGUGAUCCCUUUAUUAGUCAUCAGGAAUAGAAGGAUUGUGAAGUAGGGCAAUGCUCUCGAUCAUUAAUGUGGAGGCAUAAUUUUUGCUGAUAUAUCAGUCAGGAAUGAAUUGUGUGGGCUCAUUUGUGAAAGCCAGGGCAGGCAACAUGACCUUAUGCUAGCGACCAUAGAGAAUAGGUGGU
rnacentral:lncRNA from 1 species